rnacentral:lncRNA from 1 species
UGUUUAAAUUAAUUGACUUCAAUGGUUACAUUUCAAUCCCAAGCUUAAUCUAAUUAUAGAUUAAGCAGUAUAUUUUCAUUGCAACUUGGGCCACAGACACUUUGUUAACAGACAAACAGAUAGAUUCAUUCACUUUUUGGUUGGAGAAUAUGAAUUGAUCUAAAUAUGGUCACGAUUCUUUGUCCAAUCACUUUCGAUGAACGCUUGCAUAACUCUAUGACCUUCUUGUUUGAAUGUUCAAGCUACAAGCGGACAUUACACGUGAAGCAUAUUAAUAUUACCAAUGUACAUAGCGGGAAACAAGGAUGUCUCGAUCUGGCGCAUGGAAUGGUUAAAGAUGGUUUAGGAUGUGCUUGACUUGAUCACAGAUGCACAAAGAAUGAAUUAGAUAAAGAGUUCAUGAUCGAUCAGAAACUAUUAGUUGAUUGGUCUCGAUCAACAGCUAAAUGUCUUCUUCAUCAAUCAAUGACCGAUGGACCAGUUAGGUCAUGAAAACCUAAUACGACAGGAUGAAUAUAUAAUGUAGAUUGCAUCACUCGUUUACACUAUACGUUUGUUUAUUUGGGGAAGAAGAAGGAGGAGGAGGUUGUGUCCACGUUCUUCUUAUUAUGGUUUCACCUUGUCGAGGUGAGUACCUAAGAUACAUAAAUAGGGAAUCAUGUCCCAUCCAUCAAUGCAUAUUUCAUGUCUUUCGAGUCAUCGCUUUCUUGAAUUCUAUGAGAACUACUAUUUCCAGUUUGUCGACAUGGGAGUAGAUUUACCUGUGAGUAUAGUACAUGAGGACCUUUUGUCUCCUUUCAUGUCUCAUCAAAAUAAUUCUACUCAAACCAGCCAGCCAUCCUCUUCUUCUUUCUCACCAGUCAAAUUAGCUCUGUUUCAUGAGUUCGAUGAACCAGCAAAAAAACUGCAGCAGUUGUUUGUCAAAAUCUUUAAUUAGUAUGUCUAAGCUGAGAAAUGAUAACCCAACACAAUAAUAGUUUGAUCAAGAACUAGCCAAGUUUUUGGGUUUAAAUGACUUUGUGUCGUAAAUAGGUUCAAGGAUUAUGUUCAAUAUAUAUAUAUAUAUAUAUAUGGGUGUGUGUGUGUAUAAUAGAUGGGUUGGAGUCACAUUUAAUAUUUGACCGUAAUCAUUGAUAUUUAAGCACAUAAUGAGAGUUCAACACAUGCAAGCUAUUGUCGGUCACAUUAAUAUUACACCUCAAGGUGGUGGGUGAGGCACGUGUUAGCUGUGGUUGUACACGCGCCAUCCACCCAUGAACACGUGACAAAACAUACAAAAUCUAGGGAGGAAAAAGAGGGGAAUCUAAGAUGCCAACUCCCGUGAUCUACCAAUUACACCACGGGAUAAAUUCUUGGAUCCAAUGAUUUUACUUGUCGGGUGAGCAUGGGAGGAAGGGGUUGUUGGUGUGGGUCGAGACAAGCCAGGCAAACAGUGGGCAUGAGUCAUCGGCAAAGGCUACAUGUGGCUGCUUUGGAGCAAAGCGGGAGUGCCACCGAUGAGAAUAGCACCAACUUCGUGGGUAAUUAGCCAAGAACAUGGUGACAUUGGAUGGUAAUAAUUUAUCAUGAGACAGAAAGCGAGAGAGCGAGAGAGAGAGAGAGAGAGAGAGACAAGGAGGGGGCGGCUAAGUGUGUUUGGUGACGGAAGUGGAGUGAGAGUUAUUUAUCUCUUUACUGUUUCUAAGGAUAAAGGAAGAUGUUUUUUUGUGUGUAGUUGGCAAGUGAAAGCUUUGCAAACUAUUUUUUUAAUGCGAGGGUGGUAGGGGAGGGGGAGAGGGAGAGGGAGAGGGAGAGAGAAAAAGAAAGCAGGAAAGUAAAGGGAGAGGUAGAGGGAGGGCUCAAGAAAGGGAACAUGUUCCCUUCCUGAAGGUUUUGCUCUUAACCCAUUGACUUUUUUCUGAUUUUUAAUUUUAUUCUUAUCAUCAUUUUUUGAUCCUUCUCUCAGGUGCACCCUGACUUGAACUGUUGCUUGUUGGAUGAAAUUUUUGUGAAUCUUGAGGUUCUGUUCUUGAUUUUGUCUGGGUCCUGCUUUUGGAUUUGGUUUGGGAUGUCUGUGGGAAGAGGUUUUCUACUGUGGGGAUAGUUGAAGAAGGCUUUGGUUUUCUCGGUUUCUCUGCUGCAGGAAAGAGAUUGGUUUACUGAUACCUGUUGGGUUUGAGGGUGCAUGUCAUUGGGUUGCGGAGUUUAUGUUUGGGAGGUGAUUGUGGUGGUAAUUUUCUUGGUUUUCUGAUGGUAUUUGUUCUUUGGAAUUGCUGAUUGCUUGGUUUCUUUUUCUUUUCUUGUUAGAUGGAGAUUAGUUUUCCUAAACCGAUUGGGUUUGUGGGUGCAUGUCAUUUGGUUGCGGGUUCUUGGAUGAGAGGUGACUGUGGUGGGGAUUUUUAGUCUUCUCAUGGUGUUUCUUCAAGAAUUGUUGAUUCCUUCGUUUCUUGGUGUCAUUUGUGUGACCUAUAUAGAAAUGAAAUAUCUAUAUUUGUUGCAUGGAUGCACAUGAUUUUUUUUUUCUUUUAUUUUUGUAAAAUAAUGAUUUUUUAGUGAAAUGUCUUGUAUACUACGAAGGCACACUACUAAAGAUACUUCAAUCGCAUUAUAUAGAAAUGAAAUAUCCAUUUUGUUAUAGCUGACUGAUACUGUAUACCUUAGAACAUGUGAUCACAAUUGCCUUUUUGGAGAUCAAUAUCCUUUUACCUGUGGAUGGAAACUGGUUUCUACCUGGAAAGAGCCAUUGCAGCUUGUUGGGCAAAUUGGGAGAAACAAAUGCAGUUAGUGUUCCUUUCAGGGUAGAAUGAUCUAUUCACCAAGUAUUGAGCAAGCCGCACAAUUUUUAAUUUUUCCACAUAAUUCAGGCUGUAAAACUCAGCCUGUUGGGGACUACUGAAUCCAGAGAACAGCAAGUACUCCCCAUGAAAAACUUGCACAACUGCUCGAUUCAGAACCAUUCUGUUCUCUGUGUAAUCCCGAGAAAAACAAGUGUUUCCACAUACUUGAAAUGUUGAUGGUUUGGGAGUUCUUUUCUGAAAAAAGCAAGCCUCGUAUAUUACACGACAAUGUUGGUUGAUCUGCUUCAAAUUCAUUUUUCUGACACUUUUAAAGUGAUGUAGUGUAGUGGGUUUAGUUUUUGGCAAAGGAUUAAUCUUUCAUGCUCAACUGCUUGAGAAAAAAUGGAAAUUCUUUGGUGAUAUGAGUUUACUGAUUCUCGUAACUUUUUUUUCGUAUUAUGUGAAACUCGUAUAACAAAGUUAUGUUUGGCAGAGGGAAAUUACACUUUGGGAGGGCUAUAAAUGUGAGCAUUUCUGGUACUUUUAGCUUUUGAAAUUUUCUAAAGGAUACUCCAAAGCUAUUAUAAUCUCAGGUUCAGGUCGAUACUGAAAGAGAUUUAAAUUAACCUUUGGCAACAAGAUUCAUGGUUACCAAAUUGUCCACCAGGAUGCUUGAUUUGUAUGAAUAAUCUUGCCUACAAAGUACAUAUCAAAAUGCAGAAUGUUAAAGAUAAAAGAAGACUUCUUUUCAUCUAUUUUGUGCCAUUCUAGCCAUAUUUUGGGUGCUAAGUUUUUUAUUCUGAGAUGCAAAUACGGCAAAUAGUUGGAUAUCUUGCCUUUAAUUAUAGGUCAUGUAUUAGGUCCUUUGCAGAUGAACCUGACGAACCAUGGGUUUUCUCUAAUGAACAUGGUGAUCUUAUGGAUCUAAUGCACCAUAACCCUUUCUUCCCCUGCUCUGCCUGUAUCUUCUUUGAGUUUCACUCUCUAUGUGUGGGUGUGUGUAAAAUCACUGAAAUGCCAAUCAUAUUCACUUUUUAUGUAUGAUUUAUGUUAUGCAGAUCAGUUUGAUUCACAAAGUAAAAUCUUAAAUAUUAAAGUGAUUUGAUACUAAAGCCACAUAAGUCCAGUUUGGCACAAAAAAAGGUGAAAUGAUUUUCAUCCAGAAUCUAUAACAACAAUAGCAACAAAGUCCCAACUAUUUGGGGUCGGCUACUUGGAUCUUUUGCUGCUAUUGAGAUCUUUUUAUCCAGAAUCUGAUAGAAACAAAUUGUUUGGUGGGUUCUGCACUGGACCCUAUUGGCUAAAUACCAAAGUUAGCCAGAAUGUGAAAGGUAACAGAAUUAAAGGUCUCUGUAGACACAAAGAAGAUCUUGCUACCUACUGGAUUCUGUUAUCCAUUCGAGCUGAACUUGCAUUCGUAGAUCACUAUGUAGAUUCUUGGGGAUGGAGAUGCACAAAAUUGCUUGGUGUUCUAGUAAUUUGGUUGUUUUAACAUAGGAUGGCAGAGAAUUACAUCCACCCAAAACUACUUUGCUGGAUUCAACUUUAGUAGACAUCAACCUUUAAAUAUCCACCACUUUCUGACUUGUAAGCUGUGCGAAGAUGGGAUACAGUGCAUGAUGAUCAUUGUCGUCCAUGCCUUCUACCAUCAAAUAUUAGUGUUCUUUGUAACUGUCUGUCAACUUGAAGUCAAUCAUGUGAAUAUGGAUUCUUUACACAGAUUUGAACAAAUAUAUGAACUUUGUAGUUAAUCAAAUAUCGUGGUUGCAGCUGAUGUCAGUAAUCCUGAACAACUUGCUAACGUUGUUCAGCAAUCUUGCAAAUUAUGUUUAUAGCCGCCAAUAGCUUGUUAUAUGCUUUUUCUCUUUUUUUGAAAAUCAUUAUGAGUAAAUUGUCGGAGUUAUUUAAAUGGUCUAUGUCUUGAUUUCAGAUGCUCCUAACUUUCUUUCAACACAGUGAUAUUGAUAAUUGUUUUUUUCUAUGUACUAGCUAGAUUUUACAACUAGCAAGAAAUUACACUUGCUCCAGAACUAGCCUGGUAUUGGGAUAUGCAUCUUGAUGCAAGAUAUUCUGAAAUGCAAGACAUUGGCAUGAGAGGUUCACAGAAUAGACCCUAUUCAAAAUCUACUUGUGUGAACAAUCCUACUUGGUGGAAUUCAAAUAGUGCAACUAUUCCGGAGUCCUCAUAUUCCAAGAACUUGAAUAUGAACAUGGACUUCUUGGGGAAAGAUGGUAACAAGGUAAAGCUAUUGAACCAUUCGGUAUCCGAACAUGACUCAUCAACUCAGUCCACUGGUCAAUCUCAUCAAGAAAUAUCAGGAACAAGUGAAGACAAUGUUCAUGAGCAACAUAUUUCAGUACAAUCUGGUAUAGGCAAACUAAUAUGAAAUGCUCUUUUACUACGCCUUUUGGAUUUUGUGUUCUUAGAUGUAGUGAAUAUUAUCUUCUAUCUGCUUCUGUUCGAGUUGAUAUUUCAUUUUUGUUGCUGCAUAAUGUCACUUUAGAAAGUUGUUUGUUAUGGUUUGACCACAUUGUUCUGUUAUCAGUAAUCAAUAUUAAACUUGAUGAUUGCCUUAAUCUGGAAAAUUAACUUAAAAUGAAUAAAAAUACAUUGUGAGCUUGACCUUCUAUCUACACCAAAGACUUGUAUACUUAUUCUGCUAGAUAUACCGAGUGCUUGCCUGAUUGCUCAUGUUUCUUUCUUUUCUUGUUGCAAAUCUGUACUCAAUUGCCACUGGUUCCUCUAGUUGUCUUCCAUAUUUAGAGCCUAGAUGGGGAGCUUGAUAGUUGCCAGAUACACAGGUCUAUUUGAGCUUUAUUAUGUCCAUGAGAUUAAAAGCUUGAUAGUUGCCCUACACAAAGGGCUUGUUUAAAGGUUUAGUUAACCAUAAUCUGUACACAGUGUAACUAUUGUCUUAAUUGGUGAAUGUUUUAAUUUCUUAUAAAAAAUGUUCUCUUCCAGUUGGAUAUGUAUCUGUUUAUACAGUUUAAAAUGGAGUAAAUUGCUAAAUUUAAACCGCUGAAUUCUCCUGUGAAGUCAAUUUUCAAAUGCAACACGAGGAUUCUUAAGAAAAUUCUGUAUGUGGGAAGCAUGUACCUUAUCACUGACAUUUCUUUGCAGUUUGUUCUUUUUAUCCAAGUGUUGGAUAUUUAUGGAUAAGAUUAUGAUUUAUCCAAGUGUUGGAAAUUUACCUGUACCGGUCCCUAGGUGGAUCGGUAGGGGUCUGAUACAUACUGGUGCACCGAAACAUGGUAUGCUGGUAUACCGAUCAGCAUCGAGAAGGGGGGAAAGAAGAGGAGAAGGACAAGGAGAACGGGGAAAGAAGAGAAGGAGAAGAUUAAGAAGGGGAAGAGGAGAAGGGAAAAAUGGUGAGGAGGAGGAAAAAGUAUUGGGGUAGUGGGUGGGCGAUGGUGGCAGUAGCAAGCACGGGUGAGAGAGAGAGAGGACCAGACCCCGGAACCGGACUGGACCAGACGAAAAGCCAUGGUCUGCAUGCUAGUUAAAGCUCGGACUAGGAAACACUGUUUGGUGGUUAUUGGUCCAGGCAAAAUUUGAUACCAAUGUUUGUUUCUACUUUCUCCUUUUUAUCAUAGAAAAUUGGGCAUCAUGAAGUCCUAAAACAUUUUACUUCGAUAUUUUUGCAUACUUGUAGAUGUCAAUGGUACAAAAUGUACCAUGCGCAUGUUAAUAGUUCCUUCAAUUUUUGCAAUGUAAUUUUCUUGUGUCUAGGUUGCUUUGCAUGCCUGUAUAAUUUAUAAAGAUCUGUAUAUAAAAUCUUGGUUUCAGAGUUCCCUUUUCUUUAUGCAAGUACGUUCUAGUUCUUCCACAUUAUCUUACCUUCUUACACAGUUGCUCUCCUUUGUUAGGUAUCGAUAGUACACUCACAAAGUCAGCCAAGGAUCAUCUGAAGCCAGUCAUAUCUCUUGGGGCAUCAGAUGCUGCCCUUGCACCUCCAAAAUGGGACUACAGCCAGUCCUUUGUAAGUUCGCAUUGGUAUUUUUGGAGCUGUUAAAUGAUUUGUUUAUAUGGAACACCCUGUAUCAUCAAAUUCAUUUAACUAAUUUGCUUCUGACAUUAGGGCUUCUGGAUUUCUUGUUGCAGGCUCCUGUUCCAUACCCUUAUGCUGACCCAUAUUAUGGUGGUAUCUUUGCUGUGUGCGGACCACAUGCUGUGGUAAGUGUAUCAAACAUAUUUUUUUUUGCUAAUUUUCUCUGGCUUUCAAUUGGACAUACAUGUGGUUGCUCCACCAUUUUUAAGUAGGGCUGGACUAUGCUAUGGUUUCUAUCUGUUGGUAUAUGCAUUAAAGAUUUCACUUUCAUUCUGGUCCAUGGAGUGUUUUUUUUUUUUGUUUCAAUACUUUCGGCUAGAGUUUUUAGACUUUGAUGGAGAGAAAAAACAUAGGAAGAACAAAUCAACAAUGAAAAACUUUUGCGCAUCAUUCGGGUAGCUUUUGUGUCUUUGUAGCAGUCUUAAUUUUCAUUCGUUUGCUAUUAAUCAGCAAGUCGGGUAUCUUUGCUGUAAGCAGACCACAUGCUGUGGUAAGUGUAUCAAACACAUUUUGUUUUGCUAAUUUUCUCUGGCUUUCAAUUGGACAUACAUGCGGUUGCUCCACCAUUUCAAGUAGGGCUGGACUAUACUAUGGUUUCUAUCUGUUGGUAUAUGCAUUAAAGGUUUCACUUUCAUUCUGGUCCAUGGAGUUUUUUUUUGUUUCAAUACUUUCAGCUAGAACUUUAAGACUUUGAUGGAGAGAAAAAACAUAGGAAGAACAAAUCAACAAUGACAAGCUUUUGCACAUCAGUCACAUGGCAGUCUUAAUUUUCAUUCGUUUGCUAUCAAUCAGCGAGUCCAAUCUUGAUUUUGCACAUUGGCCAAUGGCAACCAUAGGAAGAAUUUCGAUCGGCAAGUGCAUACGAUAUAGUUGCGACUAACAAUUAGGAAAAUACAACAUGCAACAAUAUACAUCAUAGGAAUUAUAGGAUCCCGUGCACAUUACUAGUGUCGACCUGUAGCGUAAAAGAUAAAUUUUCAUUGAUUUGCUAUCUUCAUUUUCUUCAUAUGGCAUGGUGCUACUCUACCUGCAGAUUCAACCACAAAUGACGGGAAUAGCAUCCCCUGCUCGAGUUCCACUGCCGCUUCAACCUGCAGCGGAAGAACCCAUUUAUGUCAAUGCAAAACAAUAUAAUGCAAUACUUCGAAGGAGGCAGCUGCGUGCAAAGUUGGAGGCUCAAAACAAACUCAUCAAAAAUAGAAAGGUAUACGUUUCUGUAAGGACAUAAGUCGUUAUCUUUUGUUUAAAUAUUUCUUCUGUUUCGUUACGCGAGUAAGAAAAAGAGAAUUAAUUGCAUUGCCAAAUUAACAUAGACCUGAUUUUGCAUAUAUGCACAACUAACAACUAACUCUGAAAUGCUAUCGAUAGGAACAACUAACUUAUGCCUGUAUCUUUUCAGCCAUAUCUUCAUGAGUCACGCCAUCUUCACGCAAUGAAGAGGGCAAGGGGAUCCGGUGGACGAUUCCUCAACACAAAGCAGCUCCAGCAACAACAGCAGACGCAGGCUUCUGCCAUGUCAGGCCGUAAGCAGCUCACCGGUUCAGAGCUCCGCCCCAUUGGUUUGGCUGCCACUUUGAUCGACUCUGAAACCGCAAGUGUCUCUACAAACAGAAGCAUGUUAGCGCAACGGGAUCGCUUGGGCUUCCCCUUGCCCAAUCUCCUCCAUUCAAGCAUGGGAACAACAAGCAAUCAAGGUGGCAGCAGCAUGAUGAGCAGUAAUUCGGAGCUCCAAGUCCCACCCAUGCGGUAAAACUUGGGGAGCCAACCGAGAGUGAGGAGAUUGUAUCUCGCUGUGUCUCACGGUGGUUCCCCGGCAAUUCAUCCUUGGCUUUUGGCAUCUCAUCCGAAAUGCUUCAUUUGACAUGGUACUAAAAAACUCUAGUUUGGUAACUCAGAAACUCAUCAGUGUUAACCAGUACAGAGCUUAUCGUACUCGUCCUUUAAUUUGUACCAAGUAAAGAGAUAGCAAGUGCGACUCAGAGACCUCCUUCUCAAACAAAUGCAUGGAUUCCAUCUCCAUCCUGUUUACUACUUAAUGCAUGAAUUCUCCGAAUCUGAUAAGACAUGCUGUGGAUACAUGGCUAGCCAAGGCAUUAUAUUCCCGAAAUGAUUUGAUGUGAUUGUUACUCUUCCGAUCGGACUUCAAACAGCCAUAUCAUUUGUAUGAUUAAUUUACAUAUGAAUACGGUGUUAACAAAACUGUGCAUUUACUCUAUUCCACACAUACGAGACCGAGUUUUGUUUGGUAAUGGCGAUCGAUCCGCGAAGCACGCUCACGCGGGUCGCGAUGAAUCACAUGGCUUGCAGUCAUCCGCAGACCACUACAGUAUAAUACUUAAUGAAUGCCGAGAUCCAUGGCUUGUAUUGGUCGACGCAGAGACCGAAACAAUAAUUGUGAGUUGGGGACAGAUGCCGACGUCUUGAAAGCUUGUAUUCAUUGACUUGACUCAACAAAAGGAUAUUAUAAGAUAUUCCAUAGCUUUCGUUUGGCCAAAUAAUAUAUAUGCUACACAAAUGGCAGUGCGUCUUUGUAUAAGAAAGCCAGGAUCGAGGAAGGAGAGUCACGCCUGGUUCAUCAUCGGAGCUAGCGAGAGGCUCAUCUUCUCUCAGGUACUGUUCUUUCUCUCAUGCGGAUUUCUUCAUCAAUGGGCUGAGUUAUUCACUGUUUCAGUCAAUGAAUGUUAUGCUGAUUGAUUUGAGCAAGACAAAAAGCCAUUAUCUUGCACUUGGAUCCACAUCUGGAUCUCGUUACUCCAUUUUUGGAACUUGGAAUCUUUCCAUUUAUCUUGUAACUUUCCCUGAGAAUAGUGCAUCUCUGGUGCUGAAGGAGGGGUUGGGUCGAGUUCAUCUGAGAUCCUUCCUCUCCCAUCUCUUCCUCCACUUUUAAUCUAUACAACUGCGUCUUUCCCUUUGUCUUCUAUAGGAACCCUAUGCCUGGAAUUAUUUUUACUUUUAAUCUUCCUUUUCUUCAUCAGUAGGAACCCCAUGAGUAGUCAUAUGAUCUUUAUUAUUUUGGAUCUGAGUGAAUGUGCAACUAAGAAAUGUUUUCAGUGUUCCACAAGCAAUAAAUAGAUGGAAACUUUAUUUUAAAUAUGUAUCGAUUUAAAUUUUAUUUGGUAAAAUUAUAUUUCAAAAAUCUAUUGAAUAUUUUUUUUAUAAAUUUAUCAUUCUAAUAUUCUUGAUAUUUAUAAAAAUAUAUAUAUAUAUAUAUAUUUUUUUAUUUAAAUUAAAAAUAAAUAAAUAAAUAUAUAUAUGUAUGUAUGUAAUCUUAUUAAAAAACCGUAUGGCUCCAUGGCAAUCUUAUAAUUUUAAAUAAAAUUAUAUGAUAUUUUCAAAAUUUAUAAAAUGCUAAUAUUAUCCUAAAUUAAUAUAAGUACUCGAGUAUUUCUAAUCGAGGCUCGAUGUGAUUUAAAAAAAUAUUAAGUAUUAAUUCAUAUUUGAAAUGUAUAUUCGAUUUUCAAAUACAUCUAUACAAGUUUAUGUUGUUUAUUUUUUUAUUAGUUUUAUAUAUUUAUAUUUUUAAUAUAUAUAUAUAUAUAUAUAUAUAUUAAUAAUUAUAUUUUCAUUGUACUAUUAUUUGAGAACGUCAUUAUUUAAUAUUUUUGAAAUUUUAAAAUAAUUUAUUAUAUUUUGCAUAUUCAAAAUUUUAUACUACUUAUGAUUACGUAAUCUUAAUUUCGAAUUAUUUUAAACUUGCAUCUUAUUACGUUGGAAAGAGGUCAAAAGUCAACAUUGGACAAUAACUUGAGCCAAUUCGGUGACAAGGAUAAUUAUAUUUUUACUCCAUAGCAGAAAUUAAUGAGAUUAUAUCCAUCAACACCAAAAGUAGAAAUUAGUUUUCUGUUUGACUAAUUUUGACUGCAUGACUCUGUGGACAGAACCCAACAUGGAGUCUUUUCUCAUUCUCGUUGCCGAAAAGAUUGCCGUGGCCAUGGCGGGCGAAGCCAUACAGGCAGCUAUGGCCUUCAAUUUAGGAGCCGAAGAAUCGCUGAAGACGGAAGUUAAGGAGACGAUCAGACGGAUCAGAAGCGAGUUCGAGCACAUGCAAAUAUUUUUAAGCUCCGUGGACAUGCAGAAGUAUAACACCACCAUUGAGCCAUGGCUGAAACGAGCGAGGGAGAUAGCAGAUUCCAUGGAAGACGUGAUCGACGAGUACUUGCAUAUUACCGUAGAGCGGUCACAGGGUGGACUCAGAUCCUUUUUUAAUCAAGCUGUGAGAAGUCACAAAAAGAGUAGCGCCUGGAAUCUCAUAGCCAAUCGGCUGAAAGUUAUAGAGACUGGCCUAUCCCAUCUCGAAGCCAUGAAGGAUCGCUAUGACAUCAAGAAGAAUGAGUCCGAAGUAGAUGAUGAUGACGCCGAAGGCGAGAAUGCAAACGGCCUUGUCGGAAGAGUCUUCAAUUCGUCGAGAUCAAACCCUGUCAGGGAAGAAGACGACAAUAUUUACAGAGAACAAAGGAAAAUUUUGUUUCAGCUGCUAACAGAUGAAACGUCUACACGCACGGUGAUAUCGGUUUGGGGCAUGGGGGGUGUAGGUAAGACCACCAUGGUUGACAAAGUUUACGGGAACCAGGAGAUCGAGAAUCGCUUCGACUGCAAAAUCUGGGUCACCGUUUCCAAGUCUUGUCGAAUCGAACAUUCGAUGCGAAGAAUUCUCAAGGAACUGCUGGACGCAGAUCAAUCGGAUCAUGAUGGUUAUGGGUCGUCGGACCUUAAUCGUGUACAGGAGGACGUUUGCAGCAUUCUACAGGAGAAGAGGUACUUGCUGAUUCUCGAUGAUGUGUGGAGCGGAGAGCUGUCUUCCUAUGUGCAACGUGCUCUUCCCGAUAACAAUCGUGGAAGCAGAAUAGUGAUAACGACACGGCUAAACGAGGUAGCUUCGACAUCAGAAGAGACGCACCGGUUGAAGCUUCGGAAAAUUGAAGAUGAAGGCCAAGCGUUCGAUCUGUUCUGUCGAGAGGUAUUCUGGCAUGCCGACGACAGGCGUUGCCCCAAACACUUGGAGACGGUGGGGAGAAAUAUUGUCAGGAAGUGCCAAGGCCUGCCACUGGCCAUCGUGGCCGUAGCCAGACUCAUGUCACUGAAAGGGACGACCGAGGCGGAAUGGCAACGCGUUUACAAAAAGCUCAGCUGGGAGUUCGCUAACAAUCCAAGCUUGGACAACCUGAAGCAUGUUCUGAAUCUGAGCUACGACGAUCUACCGAGUUAUCUGAAGAACUGCUUCUUGUACUGCAGCGUCUUCCCCGACUACAAGAUCAAGAGGAAGAAGUUAAUAAGGCUUUGGAUCGCCGAAAGUUUCGUCCAGGACAGGGAAACACAGACGGUGGAGGAAGUGGCGGAGGAAUUCCUGGAGGAACUCGUCCAUCGGUCCAUGCUUCACGGUGUACAGAGGAAUAGCUUCGGAAGGGUGAGGAGAUGUGGGAUGCACGGAUUGAUGCGUGAAUUGACUCUACCCACAGCCCGGAAAGAAAAUUUUAGCAUGGUGUGGAAAGAGUCGGAAUCAUCGGGAGGGUUGGGGUGCGAAGCACGUCGGUUGUCGGUGCACGACUACGCCGCCAACAGCGCCUUGUUCCACAUGGAUUUCUCUCGCAUUCGCUCCUUGCUUGUGUUCAAGCAUGACUCCUCCCUGACCACCUUGCUGAAGACGGUGUCACGUAAUGCUAGAUACUUGAGGGUUGUGGAUCUGGAAAGCGCAGACAUGGACAAGGUUCCUGAUGUGUUCAUGGACCUAAUCAACCUGCACUAUCUGGGGCUAAGGAAGACGAAGGUUAAACGCCUUCCCGACUCCAUCGGAAGGCUCCGCAAUCUGCAGACCUUGGAUCUCCGCUACACUAAAAUAGAGAAGCUGCCCAAGGGGAUAAGCCAGUUGAGGAAGCUGCGAUACCUGCUGGCUCUCAGGUUGAACGACAGAAGCCGUCGAUCAUUCGAAUUCGUCAGCCAUGUCAAGGCUCCGGGCGGCUUAGGCCUGCAGAAUCUUACGAGCUUACAACACCUGGACAUCGCCGCCGACGAGGAGUCGUCGAUGAGGCAACUCGGCUACUUGACCCAACUCAAGGUGCUCAUCGUAUCCAAAGUCAAAGGCGUGCACUGCCCGCUUCUGAGCGCCUCAGUGUCGCACAUGACUUCCCUCUAUAAGUUGAGCAUCACGGCCUACGACGAGAAGGAGGUGCUUCAGUUGCAAGACUUGGGCCACUGCUUCCAAAACCUGCAGAAGCUCCAUGUGCAGGGAACGGUGGUGGGACCGGUGGUGGUUCAGGAGCAACGCCGUGCGGGGAUGCGGAGGGGAAGAGAGGUUGAGGUCGUGGCAGGCGGUGGCCUGCACGUCCAUGAUUCCCAAUUGCUGCCUCCCUCCUUCCGUUCCCUGGGAGAAAGGCUUCGGGAGCUGUGCUUGGGCUGGAGCGGACUGAAAGAAGAUCCACUCCCGGCACUCUGCCACCUCCAUAACCUUUCGGUGCUUUUCCUACGGCAGGCAUACCACGGCUUGCAACUACGCUUCAAGGAAGGCUGGUUCCCGAAUCUGCAAGAGCUUCAUCUGCUUCAUUUACCAUACGUCAACAGGAUGGUGAUAGAGAAAGGGUCAAUGAAGAGCCUUCGUUUGCUUCAAAUGGAAGGCCUGUCGGAGUUGAUGCUGCUUCCCAAAGGCAUCGAGCAUCUGACGUCCCUGCACAAGCUCUACUUAUCGGAGUGCAACAAUUUCUUCCUCUACGCAAUCCAAGAAGACCAGAGAAAGCGAGUAGACCACAUCCCAAACAUUUGGCACGCCUACCUCGCUGACGGUAAGAAGAUCAUUGAAAUCUUGAGCAGGCCCACGACUCGUUCACCUCGUCCGCAGGUACACAUACAUAUAUAUGUACACAUUCAUAUAUAUGUACAUACAUGUGACUCUGAUUCAUAUGAUGACUUGCAGGAGGAGGAGGAGGAGGAUCGGAAGUCCGUGCCACCGUAUCCAUUUCCAACCCCCAGCGAAACAGGGACGGACGAGAAUGUUUAUUCGUACUUACCUCCAUUCGAGACGAGGUCAGAGAUGAAUGAAAGGGGGACAUCUAAUUCAUAUCCAUCCCCCCGCAAAGAGAAGAAGACAAACCGGCCUACCAUUUCGGAGCAUCCUUCGCUCUCCGGUGAACAACCGGAAUUCGUGCCCGUAGUGGAUGACAGUUCACAGGCGAGUGACUUUGAAGAGGAAGAGCAAAAUAAUAAGGUAGGCUUUACUAGAAGAAGAAGAUUUUGAUUCGUUAUAUUUACAUCACCGAACACUACUACUACUACAACUACAACAACAACCACAACAACGAUCUUUAACUUAUUUAUGCCAACGGUUUACAACCGCGGUCACAACUGUACCUGCCGGUAAGAACUGUGGGUAACAGUUAUGCAUAUAUACCUUUUUUUUUUUCUUUUUUUAGUAAUAUUAAACAUGUCAUGACUUACAGGCUGAUGGUGGUGAUGAUGAUAAAUUUGCGCCGUCGUUUCCAACCCAAAGCGAAAUGGAGAUACGUGACAAUGUUGAUUCACAUUUAGAUCAACCCAAGACAAAGAUGGAGGUCACCCAAAGCGAAACAGAGAUAUGCGACGACAAGGUUGAUUCUCAUUUAGACCGAUCCGAGGCAAAGAUGGAGAUGACUCAAAGCGAAAUAGAGAUACGUGACGACAAGGUUGAUUCGCAUUUGGAUCAAUCCGAGGCAAAGAUGGAGGUGACCCAAAGUGAAAUAGAGAUACGUGACGAUAAGGUUGAUUCGCAUUUAGAUCAAUCCGAGGCAAAGAUGGAGGUGAUCCAAAGUGAAAUAGAGAUACGUGACGAUAAGGUUGAUUCGCAUUUAGAUCAAUCCAAGACAAAGAUGGAGGUCACCCAAAGCGAAACAGAGAUAGGCGAUGACAAGGUUGAUUCACAUUUAGAUCAAUCCGAGGCAAAGAUGAAGGUGACCCAAAGCGAAACAGAGAUACGUGACGAUAAGGUUGAUUCGCAUUUAGAUCGAUCCGAGGCAAAGAUGGAGGUAACUGAAAGGUGGACAUCUGAUUCGAAUACCAAAUCCCCAGAAAAGAUGAUGACAAACUUACCUACCAUAUCGGAGGAGGCUGAUGAAGAAGCCGAAUUAGUGCCUACAGUGGAUGGCAAGACAGUGGAUGCUAGUGAUGGAGAGUAGGAUCAAACUAAUGACCUAAGUCAUGCUAGUAGAAGGUAUCAUAUGUUGUUGUCUUCAUUUCUCUUUUAAGUCUUGAAAGUUGUUUUGCAUGAAAUAGUCAGCUAGUUAGUAGUGUAUCAAUCUUGUGAUGGUGUUGGAUUGAUAAUAUUUUUUAUCUUAUUUAAUGUUAGAAUUGGUACUAUUGGGUUAUAAAUAUACAUGUGUGUGUGGUAUGAUUGAAGUACAGUAAACUAAGGUUUGACUUUACUUUUAAAAAAAGGUUCGAAAAAUAUUAAUUAUAAAUAUAAAAAAUGAUCUUCUAUUAAAUUUUAGAAUGAUAAUAAUGACGAGAUAAUAGAAGAAAAAAUAUAUAACUAUCAAACUCCCAACAUGAAAAUCUUUUACCUCUACACAUCUCUCAUGUGAAAAAUAAAAUCAUUAUUCAUUGAAAACACUAUUUAUAUAGUAUUUGAUUUGUUAAUAAUCCAUUCUCCAAUUACUUGAACUACAAUUUUUUCACCUCUUUAUAUAGACCUUAGAUAUGAGACUUAAAAUAAAACAUAUAGAAAUGAAAAAAUAUAAUUUCAUCAAAUCAAGUAUACGAUGAAAUUUUGAUCGAUAAACAUUCAUAUAAAAUUUUAAGAUUUCCGAUCAAGAUUUCUAAUCCUUAAUCAAGAUUGAAUAUAUUUAUUUUUUAUUUGCUUUCUUGUCUUCUCGCUAAACAUAUAUUAUCAAGUGAGACCCUACGAAGAAUAUCUAUUAACUAAUUAAAUUUAUUCAAAUAAGAGAUAAAUUAAAUUGGUUCUGCAUCAUAUAAUUGAAAUAUGAAUCGGUCUUAAUGAUAAAACAUCUUGACUAAAUUAAAAGUUCAAAUACUAAAUCUACUGUAUGAUAAGUAGUAACUAAUUUUUUUUAUAAUAAAAGAUUAGAAAAAACUAUGAGGCUCCGUCGAUAUUUAAGUCAAUAAGAGACUCGAGAUAAAAUUUUUAAAAAAUAAUUUAAAAUUGUAUAAUAGGCUCAUAUUUAUAUAUUUGCUAAAUAAUGAAUAUAUAGAAUAAUACUUUUUUUCCUCAAACUCAUGCUAACACUUAGGCUCCACACGUUGACAUCUCAUCGGCGAAAUAUAUUGACCUUAUGAUCGAUCUUACUCGAACGAGUUGCUGUCAACCCUAUGCCCGAAUGAACCCAACCAGCCAAUCCAAUUCGGCCCAACAUGUAUGUAUUUCGAUCUUUUAUUUGGAUGAUCCAUUUGAGUUCAGCUAUGUCAAAACCAACAUUUCCUCUGACCGUUCUUCAUCGAUGAAGACCGGAGAAGCUCUCUUUUCCUGGUUAGACCCUGGAGAAUGGAUUCUUCGAUAUGGAAGAAGUUCUACGCAUGCACUCACGUAGCUUGCGCUGUCGCCAAGUGAAGAAAGGAAUGGUAUGCUACCGGCACGAGGCCAAAACAGCGGCUGCAGUCGACCGAAUCAUGUCUUCCUGCCUCGAACUGCACUAGUCUUCAACCACAAGGCGUACGAAACCCGCUUCAAAUUAACCUUUGAUUCCCGAACAUAUGCCAUAUGCUUCCUCAUCUUCCAUAGUGCGCGGUAGUGCCUGCGUUCCCACUUUCUUUUGCUUGUUCAACCCACCUUACCUUCUUACCAAAGCAUGAGAGCUCCGAACGCAACCAGCUGUGAUGGUGUGAACGGCUCUUUUGUGUUGGUGUUGUUAUAUGCAAUGUGAAAAAAAAAAAUUUAUGUUAAGAUUGAAAUCAAAUAAUAUUACAUCAGUGUUAUGAUGUAAACGAUGUCAUCUGAAAAGAAUCUCUGUGUGAUCUGCAAAGACAUCGUCUUUAGAUCUAUAAUCGCUGUCAAUUUAUAAGGAGAACGAGACUUUUAUUCUCUUCUCUUCCUAUUUUUUCACAGUAUCAUUUAGAUUGAUAGUUCACAAAAAUUAAGAGAAAAACUAUAAUUUCUUAACUGAGUCUUCUAUGAGAUACUUAGUUUAAUUCUUAUAUAUCCUAUCUAUUUAUAGAUGAGAUAAUAGGGUCUAGAAUAAAUUAUUAACUUUUUUUCAUCAAUAUCUAUCAUAAAAUUUUAAUUAGUUUUAUUAUAUAUUUUAUCUAAUUAUAAUGGAUGUAUAAUCUAACAUUAAUAUGAUAUUAAUAUGAUGAUGUAAGUCACGAGGCAUAUAAAAGUCUGAAACUUGCCAUUGCCACCCAAACUUGGGGCGUCACUGUGUGUGUGAAAACCAGCUCCUGAUCUCCCUAAAAGAAGGCUGGUUUUGGUGCAUCCCAACGUGUAUCAGGCAAUCGAUCUUUUGGCAAAAGAAUACGUUGUUAGCAGAGAGAUGCAAGCCACUGGAAUUGUUCUUCUUUGCCCGAGUCCAUGAGUUGGUGUUGGAACAUCACCAAAACCAUCAUGGUUUUCCAGAGGAGCUUUUGCAAGGCCAGGAGGACCCAUCACUCACAACCUGCUUGCAUGACCCACACAUUUGCCAAUACCAUUCUCAUCCACCACAACAAAGUGCAAGGACGGUUUUGGUCGGUGCAGGAAGCAUUCAUCGUUUCCACAUUAUCGAAACACCAAAACCGGAGGCACUGCUAGUUUUUGCUGCUGAUUUUGGACACACACCGCCACCAACACCGAAAGGGAAGCAACUCCGGCUUGAAGUUAAAGAGGCAACUGAAAUGUCUUCGAGAUUGUAGAAUCGUUGCAGGUGCAAAAGGUCAGAAAUAGCUGAUAUGAACCCUAAAUUACGUGUGAAGCAUACCUCAUCUACUAGGUAGGAUGAACUUUGAGCCAAUGUUCAAUGUUCUUUAGAUGAGAUUAUUUCUUGCAGUGCUCAAUGUUCCAAACAAAUAACCUCAACUGGUGUUUCUUGUGAUUGUUCUUUAGAUGUGGGAGCACAAAGAACUCACCCUCUUCAGCUCGAAACAAUUACUUUCCUGACACAUGUAAGCUUAAUCAUUGGACCAACACAUGGCAAGUUUUAGUUAAAUGAGCCUUUGACUCUGUCUUCAUUCCCACCCAUCCUUCAACCUUUCAUAAAUUGGGUGCUCUUUCCUUUGUUCCUUCCUUGUCUGUUCUUUGUUUUGUUUUAUCAUGUUGAAUCUGAUGCUCAUUUAGAUUACCCUCCGAACAAUCCAAUAAAAGUCAAAGAGCUCCAAGAACAAGAAAGGAAUGACUUGUUCUUGUGGCGUGCGUGAUGUGCAAGAACUUUCUCUCGAUGACCAAGAAGAUGUCGAAACAUGUGGUGAUGGGAGACUGGAUGAGAUCUUUCCACAAACUUUGAGUGCCAGAAAACUGGAAACUGUUGACCGUGACAAUUACUUCCGCUAUGAAUCCUGACAAGGUUGAGAGAUGUGAACUCGGUGAGCUGAACAUGGGAUGAUGGUUUUGUGAAUCCACAUCCAUGAUCGAGCCCUUAAUUGAUUCCCCGACUCCAUUUUAGCUGAAGACAGCAUUGUUGAUUACUUUAAUGCCAUCACUAAGCUUUAAUCCUCCAUCCACAUCCAUGAUUGAGCUCUUAAUUGAUUCCCCAACUCCAUUAUACAGCAUUGUUGAUUACUUUAAUGCCAUGACUAAGCUUUAAUCCUCCAUCCACAUCCAUGAUCGAGCCCUUAAUUGAUUCCCCAACUCCAUUAUAGCUGAAGACAGCAUUGUUGCUUACUUUAAUGCCAUCACUAAGCUUUAAUCCUCCAUCCAACGCAAAUUCUUGCCGUCCAAAAUACGAUCACACCAAACUUUCUCAAACGUCAUGACUGUUCCGACGACUCUCUCUCUCUCUCUCUCUCUCUCUCUCAAUUGAGACAUUUAGAAAUACUUUUCACACUGUAAAAUAAAUAGCAUCAGUAUCAUUUCAUAUCAAGGGUGGAAGUAAUCCGGAAAGCACGCAAAUCAUGAAUUAGAUUUUAUUAUAUUUAAUUUGACUUGACGGAUGAUUAAAAUACUUUCUAUGAUUUUGUUCUUUGAUAAUGAAUCUAAUAAAAAUAUUGGUCUUCGAGAAAAUAGCAACCUUCAAAAUUAACCAAUCACUAUAACUGAGCAUAAUAUCUUAACAUAAUCCAACAUAAAAAAAUUGACAAAAGUAUUCCUUAUUAUCAUCUCAAUCAUUUCAAAUAAAUAUAGGAUAAAUUCUUCAAAAACCCUCAAGUUUACGUUACUUUUUACAUAACUCUCUUUUAUCUUUAUUCUCAGGAAUCAUCUUCAUGGUAACGUUAUCGCUACGUUGAUCUUCGUUCAACACGAUGAUGGCUCCUAAGAUCCUCGAGACCUUUAUCUCUCGACUCCACUGGCUUAUCCCCGUCUACACCUUCGUCGAAGAAAUUGAGGGAGGGAGGUCAAGGGGGUGAGAUUAUGAGCAUCACAAAUGGUGAUGAAGGGUUGGACUUUAGCCUCAUCGUGUACCUACCCUCCGUGUCGCUUGGGUGGAUAGAGAAUAGUCCAUUGUUGCUAGUUGACUGGGCAAUGUCACAAGUGUCUUUGACGGGUAGAAGGGAGGAGGCUGUGAGGGUUGUGAUGAUGAUCGUAAAAGAGAGGCAUUCUAUGGUAAAAAGAAAAGAAGGGCGAAGUGAUAAGUGGGUUAAUAAGAACAAUACCUAACACGAUGAGCGAGUGAAAUAGUCCAACAUGAGACUUUUUCAUAAGAACAACACCUAACACUUAAAAUCUCACGUCACCUCACGAAGAUAAUAAAAAUUGAUUGUACGAGAGUUUUCAUCUUUUAAAAAUUAAAAAAUAAUAUUUAAAAAUAAAAUAAAAGGAGUGCUCUUUCGAAAAAAUAAAAAUUUAGAGACUUUUUUUUAAAGAAUUUACUCAUAAAUAUAUAAUUUUAAUUUAAUCAAAUGGUGAUAUACUAUGGUUCUAGAGGACACGUGGUAUGAACGUUGAAUUCCAUGGGGGCAUCAAUCCGGUGAACAGUAAGAUGGUCAACGGGUCACACCGACGAGGCACCGAACAGGGAACCUUCUCGGCGUCCGCUUCAAUUAAUGCGCGGACAUACAUUUCUUUUCCCGCAAGAAGAAAACUGGCCGCCGACCACCGUUUUCAUUUCGCCGCAAACGAUGGCUCAAACCAGCACCACCACCGUCACGAGACGGGGAACCUUGUUCUCUUUCCCGUUCGUCUUGCUAUAAGAACUCGCCUACAUGUCCCUUCAAAUCCUCCCAUCCCAACCCAAAGCAAAGCAAACCAAACCAUCACACACGUCCAUCUCUCUCCUGUUCUCUUUCAACUCCAUUCACCUCAUUCUCCAUCUGUGCUCUGCAAAGUAGGAGAACAAGAAGCCAUGGUGCUCUCCAAGACCGCCUCUCAAACCGACGUGUCCGUCCACUCCACCUUCGCCUCUCGCUACGUCCGCGACGCCCUUCCCAGGUGAAGCGAACGCCUCUUUCCUUCUUCUGCGUUCUCGAAGAUGAUGAUGGUGAUGGUGAUGGUGAUGGGUGUGUGUAGGUUUCGGAUGCCGGAGAAUUCGAUACCGAAGGAGGCGGCGUACCAGAUCAUCAACGACGAGCUGAUGCUGGACGGCAACCCGCGGCUGAACCUGGCAUCCUUCGUCACCACGUGGAUGGAGCCGGAGUGCGACAAGCUCAUCAUGGCUGCCAUCAACAAGAACUACGUCGACAUGGACGAGUACCCUGUCACCACUGAGCUCCAGGUACACACCCUGUCCAUCUUCUUCCUCCGUGGGAUUACCUGCAGUUGAGUCACACCAAAACCACCAGGAUUUUGCGUUGCUCCACUUGCUACUGCUCCUCGGGAAGCUCAAUUUUGAAGAUCGAGUUCUUCUAUGCACUUUGUUUUCAGUUCAUAAAUGCUAUCUGCACCCACAGAAAUUGAGUUUUCCCAUUGAAGAUUGUCCACUGAAUCUAGAUGUCUUCAUUUGAUCUAGUCAAGAAAUUUAGGCUGUUAUCAUCAAAAUUGUGAUUCACAUUUACAGUGAUCACCAAAACAGGUGGCUGCUGCAUCAGUGGGUGCAAUGAUGCAGCCACUUUGGUCUUCCCAAUUGCCUGCCCUACUGGUGAAGAAUACUAUAAGAAACAGGCCAGAAAAGUAUGGGAAUGAUGAGUCAUGACCUGUUCGUCAAUUGGACGACCUGUCAUUGCCCAAGUUUCAACCAUCAGUUCAUGUAAAAGAAAUUGUCCUCAAAAGUCUAAAAGUGGUGGCAGAGUGUGGAUUCUGCACAGGACUUCUUCAACAGAGACCGAAUGAUGUGAUUGCUUUGAGCUCUUCAACAAAAGGCAAACUUUGUUUUUCUUUUGUUAUAUAUGAAGAGAAAUCGAUUGGAAAAUUAGUCUAAAGAGGAGUUUUCAGAAAGGAAAUUAUAUAGCUUUACAAGCCAUAUGAAGCUUUUCAUAUGGAAUCAGGGGAUGAACUUUGUUUCCAUGAGAAUUUUGACUCUCGGAACAGAGCUUGUUUACGGAACAUUCUGUAAGACAUUGGUGUGAGCAUAUUAUUCCUCUAGUUUUGCGCUUGAUGAAAUUUUAUUCAUCAGCUUGAAAGCAUUUGUUUACUGCAGAACCGAUGCGUGAACAUGAUUGCGCAUCUCUUCAAUGCACCUCUCGGCGAGUCGGAGGCCGCCGUCGGCGUCGGCACCGUCGGUUCCUCCGAAGCCAUAAUGCUCGCUGGAUUGGCCUUCAAGAGAAAAUGGCAGAACAGAAGGAAGGCUGAAGGGAAGCCUUACGACAAGCCUAACAUCGUCACCGGUGCCAACGUCCAAGUACGCAGUCUUCUACUUACUACCCCAUCACAAGCCAUCAUCUUCUUCUUCCUUCUUAUUCUUGCAUCUAACCCUGUCAAACGCGGUUCUUUGGAUCGAAAGGUUUGCUGGGAGAAGUUUGCGAGGUACUUCGAGGUGGAACUGAAGGAGGUCAAGCUGAGGGACGGCUACUACGUCAUGGACCCGAAGAAGGCGGUGGAGCUGGUGGACGAGAACACCAUUUGCGUCGCCGCAAUCCUCGGCUCCACGCUCAAUGGAGAAUUCGAAGAUGUCAAGCUUCUCAAUGACCUCCUGGCUGAGAAGAACAAGAAAAAAGGGUAUGUUCCUUGUCCACCAGCUCUGCUCUCAAUGGGCCAACACGCAUUGAAUGAUUAGGUUCAUGUGUUCCAUGAUGCAGAUGGGACACGCCGAUCCAUGUGGACGCGGCGAGCGGCGGGUUCAUCGCGCCGUUCCUGUACCCGGAGCUGGAGUGGGAUUUCCGGCUGCCGCUGGUGAAGAGCAUCAACGUGAGCGGGCACAAGUACGGGCUGGUGUACGCCGGCAUCGGGUGGGUGAUAUGGAGGAGCAAGGACGACUUGCCCGAAGAGCUCAUCUUCCACAUCAAUUACCUCGGCGCCGAUCAACCCACCUUCACUCUCAACUUCUCCAAAGGUAAUGAUAGCAGCUCAGAAUGCCAAGAAUAUGGAAUUAAUCUUCUCCUCCGUCGAAGCAAAGCAAUCUUUUUUACUUCCACAGAGAUUAAACUGCUACUGUUGACUUCAAUUUUUGCUACCCCCUUUUAUCAGGAUCUAGUCAGGUCAUUGCACAAUACUACCAGCUAAUUCGACUGGGUUACGAGGUAGUCAUCUCGCUCUCUCUUUCUCUCUCUCACAAACUCUCUCUCUCGCGUUGACUCCUCGGCAUUGUUUUACUGCAGGGAUACAAGAAUGUAAUGGAGAACUGCCAGGAAAACGCCAUGGUGCUGAAACGAGGGCUGGAGAGGACAGGGCGGUUCGACAUCGUCUCCAAGGACAACGGCGUGCCGCUGGUGGCGUUCUCGCUGAAGGACCGAAGCCGGCACGACGAGUUCGAGGUGUCAGACUUCCUGCGCCGGUUCGGGUGGAUCGUGCCGGCGUACACGAUGCCGCCGGACGCACAGCACGUCACGGUACUCCGCGUCGUCAUCCGCGAGGACUUCAGCCGCACGCUGGCAGAGCGGCUCGUGAUGGACGUGCAGAAGGUCCUGCACGAGCUCGACUCGCUGCCGCCUAAACAGCCCAAGGUCAACGGCCACCCACACCACCACCGCAACGGGACGAUCCCCAAGAAGUCGGAGCUCGAGACGCAGCGGUCCGUCACCGACGCUUGGAAGAAGUUCGUCAUGGCCAAGAAGACCACCAACAUCGUCUGCUAGUACUUACAAGUUAUUACCAGACAUUAUUACGAUUAAGAGGAUUGCUUCUUUUUGUUGUGUACGCUGUUUUAGAGGGACACGAAUUGGCAACACUUGCCAUACGGUUAUUGUUCAAGAGCUAAAUAAUAUGGUGUUUCAUCAACUAUGACUUCCAAUUAUCGAGUUUUGUUAGGAUAAAUAUCAAUUUUAUGGGCCAAAAUAAUUGCUUUAUGAUUAACAAAAGGGCUUAGAAAGGACCUAAUGUCAAAUCCAAGCUGGUUAUAGGAACCAGAACAAUACUUGCCCCUAAUUCAUAUGGCCAGAGCUAUUGAGAAAUAGGCAUAUAAUUCAAUCUAAAAGUAAUGUCGUGGGAUGACAGUCAACCAGUGCAUGCAAUACUAGUCUUAAUUCACAUUUCAAGAAAAGAAUAAAAAAUAAUAAUUUAUAACAACACACCAUUCAAUAUAGGUUUAAUAUAGGGUUAAGGUUCAUUUUAUUCCCUAUGAUUUUGAUCAUAAAUCACUUAAGUCCUAUAAUUUACUUAUAUCUAAAAUAACUCAUAAAUAUUUAAGAACAUAAUAUAUAAAUCCCUCUCGUCAAGUCUAAAUGAAUAGACAUUAAAGUUUGCUUACGUAACACGUAUAAUUUAAAUUUAAAAAAUAUUAAAAUUCAUUUUAACCCUUGUGAUUUUUGUCAUUGACUACUAAAGCCAUUAUAGUUUACUUGUAUCUAAAAAACUCCUAUAUUUUAAAAAAUAUAAUAUAUAAACUCCUUACGUCAAGUCUGAAUUAAUAAAUAUUAAAAUAAUGACUCAUAAUAAAUUAUUAAUAUAAUAAUAAAUAUAUUUUAAGUUUUAAAAAUAAGUGAGAUAUCUUAUCGAGGAAGAGGAAGUGACAAAGGCUAUAACGACGAAUGAAGACUAAGAGGUAGAGGUAGGAGAGGCCAUAAGCAAAAGUGAGGAAGAGCUGAACCACUACAUCAUAGGUGUGGUAGGUGAGGUUACAGGAGAGGACGAAGUGAAAGAUGGUAGGACAAAGAUGCCCAGACCACUACGUGCAUAGCGUCAAACUAGUCGACACACAUCCACUUGAGCUUAUCAUUAGUGCCAGAGAGGUUGCAUGCAUACAACACCCUGCUAGGCAACAACGGCUCGAUGCUACUGAUUAUGGUUACUUCCACAACAACACCUCUUUCCAUCAUUGAUGAGUCUCAAUUUUUUAAAAAACUUAAAUUAUAUGUAUCAUUAUAUUAAUAGUUUAUUAUGAAUCAACAUGUCACGUAAACAGACUCUAACAUUUGUUAACUACAAGCGAGACUUACAUGCUAUGAAAAUAUAACGAUUAUUUUAGACACGAAUAAACCAUAAAAGAAUAAACGAUCCAUAAACAAAAUCACAAAGACUAAAAUGAAUCUUAAUUUAUUUUUAACAUUAAAUUAUAUUAAUAAUUUAUUAUGAGUCAACAUACCAUAAAAAAAUUUAUAUACUAUAUUUUUUAAAAAAUAUAAAUUAUUUUAGAUAUAAAUAUAUCAUAAGGCUAAAAUGAACCUUAACUCUUUAAUAUAUAAUCCUUAUAUAAAUGUACAUGUAGGAAUGCUCGACGAUACAUAUAUAGUGCUGAAACUAGAAGAGCACUGUGCAAUCAAGCAUAAUACUUUUACAGGAGAUAAAAAGCCGGGGAAAACAUAAUCAGGUGGAUUUAUUUACCAGAUUAGAUUUCAUAUAAUAAUAUAAAGUAUAUGCACUCAUCAGGAAAAUGGUGUACACGUUGGGCAUAACAAUAAAAAGCCACCAAUGCAGAAUCAUAUGCACUAAGUUUUUCAAUUAAUUUUAAAUUAUGCUUAAAAAGAUAAAGUGCAGAGAAUUCAUCUGUAUCCAUGUCCAUAUCCCAGAGAAAGUUAUGACAGUCUAAAUCCCCUUCCGGUCAGGGGAAGAAAUGCAAGAGGCAAACCCAUCAUCGCUUAGGAGCGAGAGAAAACGAGGCGAGGAAUAGGGUUUCCAAGGAUGGGAUUUUAGGCAUAACCAGACGAAAGAGGAGAGACAAUGAUGACGGAAAGAGGGAGAAGAGAAGCGGUGGCUUCUUCCAUCAGCGAGAUGAAGCAGUGAGGAAGGAAAAGGCAUUAGGUGCAGCAACAUCUAAAAGUUGAAGACGAAAAGGCCAACAAUACAUUCGGCAUUAUAUGGAAUAGCAAGGGCAGGUCGCAAUAAUUAAAGGUCCACCCACAUAAAAUAUUCCCCAUAUAUGCGAGAGUAGCUUUCACAUAUGUAUGUGAUGGAUCUUAAUACUGCUAAUGGUUAACAUAGGUAAUAAAUGCUUCAUAAAUCAUUCAGAUUUGGCAGUAAACUAAGUGUCUUGGGGCUCAUAUGAAGCUAGUAUAAAAGAAGCAACCAUCAAACACUCGACUAGAAAAAUGUUGGACUACUGAUAAACAGAACAAAAUUUUAAUAGUCUAAACUCUAAACUAUAGCUUGCAUUUAUGUUCUAGAAUAAGGUAUUCAAGAAAAAUAUACUUUCAUUUGAAGAACCAACAGCUACAGAACAUUUAACUUUCAAGACAAAGUUUUCCACAAAAAAAAAAAAUCAAAAAGGUUCGGUCCGUCCAAGCUUGACAGCACGAGCUCCACAACGAUGAAGCUCCAUAAAGCUCUUAAUUAUUUUGUUACUUUGCAGAUAGCUCAACAGACGUAAAUCUUAUGAAUCUUAUGAAUACAAAGGGCAUCCAUCGUUACCAUGAAAACCAUGAUGAUUUAGUGUGCAUGUCAAUAUCAAUACAAAAUUGGACAUAUUCUGCUAAUACAAAUAGCAGAAAAUAUAUGCAAAGCCCCAGAAAAACUGGAAAGAAAACCAACAAAAACAACAAAAGAAAGUCUGUAAUAGCUAACCUAUACACUAAAAACAGACCAUGCACGAUAUUAAGCUAAUAUUUAGGAAGUUCUCCCACAAUUACAUAAUGACAAUAUCAGCAGGAAAGUAACACUGCUUCGUCCAUAAGUACAUACCACAAGUUAUUUCCUCCGGUCAACACCUCUGCAAUCAUCCUCGAGGGCAAGAGUUAGCAUCUCUGUGCAGAAUUGGUCGUUUGGGUCCAGCCAAAGAGCCUGUCCAAUGAAAAUGUAAUAAUUUCUAUAAAAGUAGCUUAAGCAUGAAAUAUGGACCAAACAGAGUGCGAAUUAGAAUAGGAAAAUAUGGAAAACAAGUUUGACAAAUUAAUUAAGUGUUUCCCAAGCAUGACUUCCCAAUCUAGUCACCUUAUAGCUUGAGUAAAAAUAUUGAGUAAUUUUUUAAAAAAUAAAUGUACAACUAUAUCAGGUGUCUGAUAUAUGGUACAUGGCUGAAAGAAGUGAUGCCAGACUAUGGCAUCCUGCAUAUAGGCAGAAAAUGUUGCCUUCAGCCUUCAGGUCAGCUAUCAAGGAAGAGAUCAAGGAAUCAAAACUCAAUUGCAGAUAUUUAUUAUGAUGUUGCACGACAGCUUUUGAUUGGAAUGAUCCAUAUCCAGUAUAUCACUUUAACUAUGAUAGGAUACUCAGGUAGUCAACUUAAUUCCUACGUGCAAUUCUACACUAUGAAAAUAAUCACUGUUAGCAGAAACAUCAGAUUUGUCAGCGCUAAGACAUCUAUAUGCAAGGACUAUCCCAAUUUCAGUUAAGCUGGACAAUAACAUGAAUUACACCAUAAGUACAUCUUUCUAAUGCAUAUAAAUUUCAAUUGUGGUUGUAUCUGGAAAUCUGAUGAAACAUCUAUAGGUCAAUUAUAAUCACAAUUUACUCGAAAACUCACCUUGUGGUAGUAGGUUAUUGCAGCAUCAAAGUUAUCCUGUUAAAAAUACAGCAGGAAUUAAUAAAACACUGAUACCAAAAAGGCUAUUAAAUAUGUGCAAAAACAGUGCAGCUAAGAAACUAAAAGUCAGAGGGGAUUGAUCUUCACCAUCUCUUUAGUCAUUAUGAUAAAGACUGUUGACAUUCCAAAAAGAAGCUAAGCAGAAUAAGACAAAACCGUUGAAUUUUCUAUUCUCAUUUUUUUCCUUUCUAAUCCUUAUUUACUGCAUAGACACUUGAACAUACAUGUAAUUCCAUAGAUCAACAAAUGCAUGGACCUGAAUAUAUCAUAGUUUAAAAAAUUGUGCAUGCAGUGCUACUGUUCUUUUUGUAACAACUUUCGCUUCAAGUUACCUCAGAGAAAUGAAAAAAAAAAAAUCCAAUGAAAAUAAGUGAGAAAAAAAAAAUCAGGCCUAAAUUCAUGCUCCAACACCAGCUUUGACACCUUGUUAGACCAACACCAAUAUUACCACCUGAUGUCACUAAAAAAAUAAUUUAAAAAUGAACUGGAUCGGUUCCAAGCUAUAUAGUCUAAUAUCAAUCCUCAGUCAGAGAGAUACAUACUGAUUGGGACAUAUCCCAGCAGAUAUUUGAGACCUUGGUAUAGACAGCCUAUAAGCUUGUGAAGAUACCUGCAGAUGAUAUGUAUAUGCCAGACCAGCAAAUGCACUGAAAUUUUGAGUUGAAACAGCCAGGGCCUUUUCAUAACAGGAAAUAGCCUUCUGGAACAUCCUGAAAAUACUCUCCCUGAUAUUAAAUGUGCACAAUAACAAAAAUAAUAUAUCUAUUUUCUGCAGAAGUUACACCUUUUCUUUCAAAAUCCUUCAUAUUUGUCCUCCACUUGAAGAGAAUAAAGAAGUACAUCAAGAUUAACAUACAGAUAUCUCCAUGCAUUCAAAAGAAUAUAUUGUGUAAUUAACUGGUUCUCAGCAAAUAAGGAAACAUUCGUAGAAGCAUACAGAUCAAAUUUUGGGGCCAAACUAUUAAUGAAUAAAAAGAACCACAAGUCUUUUAAAAAGCUUUAGCCUUUACAGCUACACCUGAAUUUCUGUCACGUGAUUUAAAUUACAAGAUAUACUUUAGAAACUUCAUGACACUGGUAGUCAAGCCAUUACCAGGAAAACCUUGACCAGGAAGUCCUCCAAUUUAUAGAUAUCCUUAAUCAUUCUAAAGAGAUGACAUACACAUUGGAGCCACUGCUGUAUUAAAUUUCUAUUGUUUUUCCACCACUCAAGGAAAUAAGGGUCCUUUUUUUCUCUAUUGAGAGUGGCAACAAGGUUUUGACUGGAAUAAGUGUCUCAUUAGAACCUUUUUUCUUUUGCUGCAUGUUAAGAGGGAAACUUCUCUGACAUAAUUUUUGCUUAUUUUGUGAAAGUAGUUUCACGAUCACUUUUUCACAUAUUUAGCACUUGAUUAUAAACCCAAUGCAAUUUUCUAUAUGGCAUACUUCUUAAGCUCUUAACACUCAUUUAACCUGAUGUAGAAUUACUCACAUAGGAUCACACUACGACUUGUCAAUCUUCCUAAAUGAGGCAGGAUUGACUCUAAUUAUAAACCUCAAGCAACUUGCUUUGUCUUUAAGAAAUUGACACCUCUUAAGCUCUCAAGAUUGAACCAUGAAACCUGACAUCAAAUUUAAGAUACAGGAACAUGGGUGCAAAUAUAAAGCAUCUUGAUUGACUCAUGUAAUGAAUACUUUUCUCUUCCAAUUGUGCUAUUACAUUAUGAAGCAUCUUAAAGCAUCUUGUUUCUGAAUACUAACAAAAAGUCACAGAUGGGUAAAUCAAUAUUAUUUGCCUUUCCAGGUUGCUUCUUUUUAAACCUGUGCAAGUCUUACUCUGCUUCACAGGUUGCUUCCUGUUGAACAAGUGCAGGGUUGUAAAUAGUCCUAGUCUUACAUAUGAUGAUGUCAUUGGAGUUGUCAAAUCUAGUUCUGCUGAAACUAAUUGCAACUAAGAGGAAAUGCUAUACCUUGAACUAUGCAAAUUUAGCUAAUUAAGCUGUUUUCUUACAUCAUAUGCUAUGGAAAACUCCUGCAUAUUCAUACCAGAUGUACCAUAAUGAGAUCGUGGUGCUAGAGCAUCUCAGAGCACCAUUAUGAGCUGUUUAGUUGCAGAUAGUAAACAAUUUGGCACAACAACUAAUAUACCCACAUCAAGUUGUCUAACUUGGGCCAUGCCUAGAGGCGAACAUAAAAGAGGAAUGAUUACUGAUAAUAUAGCUUAAAGAAAAUUUGAUAUGUUACACAAGUCAAUCUGAAGUGUGUAAUGUUCAAAUGUAUGCUACAAACACUAUAGUAGACCAAGAAAAUGUAGCUGAAUCCUAAAGGUACAAUAAAUUCAUAGCAGAAAUUAUGUAGAUAGACAACUGAACGUACUUAAGUUUUCGUAAUGCAUGUGCAAGGUUUACCAAAGUAGGUUCCCACAUUUCACUUAAUGAAGAUGAAACACAAUCUAGGGUCAUCUCAAACCACUGAACACCUUUCUGGUAUCUACAAGAAGAAGAUAAUUUGGAUUAUGAUAGAGAAGUACAAAAGCAUUAUACACACUAACAUUCAUCAUAUGCUGAAAAAGCAAAGGAAAAUAGGUAGUAAUGAACAUGCAAAACAGCUCAUAGUUCAUCGAAAAAAAUUGCUUGGAUGGGUAUAUACAAUGUGAAUUCAAUUUCCAUAUUUGACUGUUGCAAUGGGUGUACACUUGGAUGGCUGAGGAACAGCCUAGGCAGAUAUUGCAAACUAGAACAAACUCUUCACCAUCAUGUUAAGAAUAGUACAUAUCUCUGCUAGUAGGUUGAUAACAAGUAAAGAUGCAUAAAUUGAUUGCAAAAUAAGAACCAGUGCUAAAAACCGGAACAUAGAGAGGAUGAUUUUUCUUACUCCUUCAUAUGAUAAGCAACAACUCCAAGUUCAUUAUAUACAAGUGGAUCAGAAGGGCAUAUCUUUUUGGCCUGCAAAAAGAACUGAAGAGAAAGCACAUUGAGAACAUCAAUAAACGAUGUUGUACACAAGUCAAAACCACCUAUUACAUCAUUUCUUGUUUAAAAGCUACUACAGUCCAAUUAUAAAACAAGUUCUCCGCUACUUUUAACACGCUACAGCAAGCAUUUACGCUUAAGAAUCAUUUUGAGUGGAAGAACUUCAAGCAAACAUAUGAUUAUUACUCCGAAGCUUUUAAAAGAAAAUAAACAAGAACUAGCUAUUCAUGUACAACUCAAAAUGCAGAGUUACAUCUUUAUGGACUUAAGUUCUAUCAAACUAUAAUUUCGUAUAUCAUCCCCAAGACUAAAGUCCAAAAAUCCUAAAACAACUUAGAGUCUCAUUUCUUGUAAGUGAUGUCAUAACUCUUGUUGUAGCAUCUUCUUCAAUUACAGUUGGCCUGAACUUAAACCCUUUCUGAAAAUGUAUCCACGGGACAAAGUUCAAGGUUCAUCUUCCUCACCAACCAUACUUCAAAUUUUAAUUUUCACACUGAAACACAAGGGCUUCCCACUUUACUAUUUGUUUAAUAUUUCAUUAUAGACUGAGAUGCUCUUCGCUAUAAAGAAACACAAGAUGUCCAAGAAACCAUAAGAUGACUACCCAAUUUAAUAUUCAAUGAAAUCCUCAGUGCAUAAUAGAUGUUGCAGCUUAGGUGAUAUUGAAUUAAUUCUUCUAGUCAUGAAAUUCAAUUCGGGUAACAGACCCCAGUCGAUCCAUGGUCGGGCUGAUAUGGGUACAGUCCAUGCCAGCAUGUACUGUGGUACUGUUUUACUGGCUUGGGAAGGGGAGGAAGAAGGGAAAAAAAGGAGAAGGAAGAAGGCGAAGAAGGAACAAUGAGGAGGAGGACGAGGAGAAGAAGUAGAAGAAGAUGUCCUGGUCAGCCAAGUGCAGCAAGCAGUGAUGGUGGGAGUUGGAACUACAGUGCAGAGAGCAGCUCCCAAGGAGUCACGCAUCUACAAUCCAUGAAAAGAGAGCCAGAAACCACAAACACAUGCUUUAAAAAAACAAAAAAACAGACCUGACCAAAGGGGCAGUUAUAUAUGUAUUGUAUAGCCUUUUAAAUGGGUUGGUUGCCUUGAUGAUUAGGCACCCAUCUUGAUUCGGACAGAAACUUCAGAACUUUUAGCCAUGUUCAUGUUUAGAUGGUUUUUUCAUAGUUUAGUUCUACUUACUAUAUUGUUGGUUAAAUUUAUAGUUUUCUGUCUCAGGUUGUAAAUACAAUCUAAUUUUUCUUACACUCAUAUUCUACGAUAAGCUAAUAGAGGUGUGGCCCCAAGCAACACAACGAUGACUACCUUUUGAAAGUGCUGCCUACACCAAAACCAUUGUGAGAAACACCGUCCUCAUGAAUAAAACACCAUUGACAAAAAAGAAUCCUUAGCCAUCAUUUAUCAAGUAUUGCCAACAUCAGUAGGUGAUCUAUAAUAUUCUCAUCACAACCUUCAUGUGGGUGUUUGUCUUUGUCUGUGGCGAGCCACCACUGAAAUCUUUAACACCAAGUCCCCAUCGGAGCAUAAGGAAAAACAAUAAAAAUAUAUAUAUACAUAUAUAAAUAGAGAUAUACAGAUGAAAACAUGGAAAAAGGAAGCUACAAAAUAAACAACCAAAAAUGGCAAAUGAAAUCAGAAAUCUUUUAGAUUUUCAAAAGCUGCAGCAUCAUACCUGUUCUGCAAGUUUGUAAUUGUGUGUUUGCAUGUAUUCCAUUCCAAUAUAUAGUGCUGGCAGAUGACACCUGCAUCAGGUUUCAGAAAAGAUUCAAACUCUAAAUAUGAAUCCAGAUGUAAAAGGUUGAAACUGCAAGCACAAGACAAAAGGAAUUUAUUGCCAUUGCUCGUAGCCAAAGUAGAAACUGUUAGAUAAAAACUCUUAUGUUUUAGAUAUCAUAUAUAAAGAUUCGAUUGCAAUUGUUCCAUAAUUUUUAGAGUUUAAUGUAUCAAACAAAUGCAAUAUACAAUGAUAGGAUGCCAAAAUGUCCCAACAAACAAAUGCAAUAUAUAAUAUCAAAUUUAGGGUUAGAUUUUUAUGGAGAAAAUUAUUAACAUGAUAAUUUUGCAUUCUUGAAUCUUAGCCUUAGAUAAGCAAUUGCAUUAGUAUCUCUGUACCAAAAUUCAGACAAAAUGCAUAAUAGAACAUUAGGUGGAAGCCACAGAAAAGGAUAUUUAUGAUGUAUAGCAUAUAGACCUUCAAAGAAAUAAAAUGAGGAAUAAUUGAAAAUCGAUACCUAUGUCAAGGAAUUACUAUUGGGAUCAUCAAUAAAUAGAACAUACACUCAGUGUGAAGCAAAAACCUGACAACUAAUAGAUUUAGCAUACAGAAGGAACAAAAGAAUCUUUUCUAUUCACUGAAAUGACACGUUUCUAGGCAAAUUAGAUCUUAUCAGGAAUCCAACUUUGCCUGCAUAGAAGAAAGCAAUAAUCUAAUUUACCCAGGAAACAAGCGAGCUCCAGAACGAAACGCAGCCAUUGCUUGAUCACCCUCACUUUGAGCAGCAUAAGCAUUACCAAUACCUACCCAAGCAGGUGGAAACGACCCAUCUAUAGUUGUAGCCUUGCUGCACAUGAUCAUGAGAUGCAUUUGCACUUUUAAUAGAUGGAUGUAAAAGUCAAACCAUAUAAACCAACGAAGCAAUGUAUGGACAUGAAUACAAGCAACAUAAGCAUGCAACACAAAAAUGAUCUUAUUAAUGAUUGCAGUAAAAAACUUCAAAAAGAUAAACUCUAGAAGUUCUAACCAUGCCAAUAGUGACAUGAAAUGGAAAUAAUCAAGUUGAAGGCACAGAUAAUCAAUGCUCUUAUGGUAACUAGCAGACAUAACGAAGGAUCAUCAUGAAGAAAAGCAUACCUUUUGAACAUGUAAGAUUUAUAAAUUGAGUUCAUGUCAAAAACUAAAAAAAGUCAAUAAUGCAAUUGCAUUACAUUGUAGUACAACUGGUCUGCGGAAAAACAACAGAUAUAGUACAACUGGUCUGCUAUUACAGUGUAGUACAACUGGUCUUCUUAAUCCUUUCAAUUCUAUUACAUUGUAGCACAACUGGUCUGCUAAAAACAACAAAUAUAGUGUCUACAAUCAUCUCAACUCAAAGAAUAUGUAAAAGGUUUUAAGAAUCAUAAGAAAGAAGUGCAAAAAAAAUUUAAUUACAAAGAAAUGCUAGUCACACAUACUUUAGGUGUCACAAAAAGAGGAUCAGCCUUCAUCCUUCUAAAACAAUAGGAUUAACAUCAGGGUAACUUAAUAACAUGCUGAGGACAGAGUUACAUAUCAUAAUGGCUAGUAACUAUUUAUUCCAAAAUCUAAGUUCAUUCCAAGGUCAGAAAAGCAAUGCUGUCUUCUUAAUAAAAGGUGAUCAACAAUGAAACCUGUCGAUAAAGGAAACUUGAACAUAACAAACAAAAAUAAAUGGCCACCAGAUACAUAAUAGUAAUAAGAUACACAUUUAGAAAUGACAUAGCAAUUACCAAAAGUAUCUUCGUGAUUGAUCAUACUUCUUGAUACAAAAGUAGUAGCAUCCAACAGAAAACCAGGAGAGAGCUCUAAAAAGAAGAAGAAUUUGUCAUGAUCAAAAUAGUGGACAUCUCUGUCCAUAAUAACAUAAUCAAUAAUAAUAUAUCUUGUAGCAUCUUAAAUAGCCAUAACCAUGUCCAACUAAAAGACUGCAACUUCACAAGAUAACACAGUGCCAAAGUUACUACUAUAGAAAUAAAAAUCUAGUUAUUUCUUACCAGUCAUGACUUGUACCAAGAAAAUAUAUUGUUGAGUUAUUUGCUAUGUCAAGGUUCGUGGACAUAUCAUUACCAUUGACACAGUUUUUCAUUAUUUCUUCUAAGUUAUGAAGCAACUAAGUUUUCACUGCCAACAUCUGCAGGUACAGGCUUACGAGCACACAACUAUAUGGUAAUAAAGUAUAGCAAACUGCCAUGUCAGUUUUCCCCAAGGUCCUAUCAUUUUUAUUUAGAAAAUUUGACAACCAGGCAACCGUGGCACACAACUAUGAAGAAAGGACUCUUCAAAAUGCUUGUCAUGUCCGUGUCCGACACCAACGCUUACUGGACAUUUUGGCAUAUGUUAGGAAAUUCAAGCAUAUUAGAGACUUGUACCCCUUACACAUAUUUAGUAUAAACAUAUUUGAUUUAUAUUGGACUAUUAAUCAUCCAUAUAAGGCUUCAAGAUAUGCCAAGUAUUGAUAAUAUGCGUAUAGUUUACACUUAACUUCCUCCAGAAUGUUUUACAUAUAUGUUUGAAGUAGUUUUAUGAACAUAUGCUACUCUAUAAAUGGUUAUGUUUUUUAAAAUUUAUAUAUAAUCAUCAUAGAUUGUCUAUAUUGCACAAAAGUAUAAGAUUACAAUAAUAUAUGAAAAUAUGCAUGCACUAGUCAUAUUCUUCAUGUGAGUCCAUCUCUUAAAAGAUCUGCCACGACAGCAUAGCCAUACAUGCAGUGUUUGUGUCCCAUCUCCAUGUCCAUGUUUCAUAGUUAGAUAGACGGAAGUUUACCAAGAUAACAUGCAUUACGGCUCAAGUUCCUGAGCCUUCUUCACCCCAAACACAAGCCCUCAGUUCACAUGCAAUUGCACACCACUCGUUAUGCACAGGUAUGCUUCCUCCUCUUCGUCCUCUGCUGUCUCCUCUUUUUCCUUUCGCUUCCUCCUCAUCCCUAUACCAACCCAGCCAAGGACCGAUAUGGACAUUGUCAUGACCCGAUGGGUUAACUGGCCUAUUAAUUUUAUUAAACCUGAACCACUGAGCUUAAGCUGAAGUUAACAAUAAUACACUCAUUAGACGAUUGUAAGUCAAUCUUAGUCUUAUCCUACUUCCAAUGUGAGACUAAUCGAGAUGUUACAACCUCCUCCACUUAAUGGCUUGAUGUCCUCAUCAAAGGACAACAUAGCCGAAAAUCAAAUCCCAGGUGCAUGUGAGGCAUAGCCCAAUGAUGGCUUCAUGUUAUAAUAUGCUCUCUGGCCCCGUCCACGUGUAACUCUUUCCUACUCGAGCCUUGCAACAUACCCCAAAACUAGAUUGGCUCUGAUACCAAGUGUCACGACUCGACCUAUUGACUUUGUUAAAUCUAAAACACCGACUCAAAAUGCUUAAGCUAAUAUUAAUAGUUAUCUACCCAUCAAACAUUUAUAAGUCAAUAUUAGUCUUAGCCCACUUCCAAUGUGGGACUAAUCGAGGUCUUGUUACAAAUAUGGUAUGUGAAACGACAAUCCUUGCAUUAUUAUAUACAAUAUGUUCCAAUAUUAGACAAUUUUGGUUUUAUGUGUUUUUGAUAUCCUAGAUCAUAUAGAAGGAAACUGAUCUUGGUUGGGAGACUUCACAAUCAUUAUUUAUGCAGUCUCAUUGGUGCAUAAAUCAUGCAAACAAAAACAUAUAUAUGUAGAUAUAUGUACGCAUCACUUUAAUAUAUUCAGUUCUAUUUCCAUAGAGGGCCAAGCAAAAAAUCUGGAUCACUGGUUCAUAAAUGAUCCUGAUCAAUGACUAGUUAGGGAGCAAGUACUUCAUAUUUUUGAAAAUGAACAAAAAAGUAAUGGCUCUUCCCAAAAGAGAAUUAUACGGAACAUGCAUCUUUCAUUUUCUCCGGUCUCCCUCUGUCCAUUGACUAUUGCAACCUUACUAAUAAAAAAAGGGUCCCAUGUACUAUAAUCAAACCUACAUAUGUAUGUACAAGUGUAUAUUUUAUAAUACAUAUGUGUACAUUUCAAGCCCUUUCCCUUCAGCACCAUCUCCAUAAGAAUAUGACUCAAGCUAGCAACAUUAGGAAUUAGCUAGUGUAUAUACAAAUAUAAGUAGACCAAUUUCAAAUAUUCUUCUGAACAAAUAAAGUAAUUUCAUUCCAAUCAAUGUCUACAGUCUACACUAUUAUUCAAUUAAAUUCAUGAGAGAAACCAACUUGCUACAUAGUUGUCCUUAAAACUUAAGCCUUUUGAUUGAUCAAAAUCCUUGAAUCUAAUAAUGUAAUAAAAAAUGCAUACUAACUUUUGAGGAUGAUCUUUCACCAAAUUGCAGGCCAUAAGAUAGAGAUCAUUGGAACGGCCAAGUUCCAUCGAAGCCACCAAAUGAACUAAUGUACAUUUCAAAUGAAAAGGAUCUCUUUCUAAAACCCUGAAAGAAGCAUAGAUUGGAGUUAUAUAAAGCCUACCUAUAUUAGUCAAAUUUAGUUAAAACUUUAACAUAAUUCUUACAUGGAAGUAAGUUCAAAACAUCUUUGAUACUCUCCACUCUGGUAAUAGUAUUCAGCUCUACGAGCCAACAAGUCAGUGUUGUUUUUCAGUGUCUGGCUAAAAGAUGAAUUAGAAGAUGCAACACCAGAAGUCUCUCUUUCAAGAUCUCUGAACUUGGCUUCUACAACAUGUUCUUUGACGUGCUACAAAAUCAAAAGAAACAGUCAAAAUCAUAUAUUUUCUGAUGCCAGAUAUUAACACAGUGCUUACGACAUUACCUUCUUUACAAGACAUGAGUAGAAUGAUGACAACCACUUAUCAUCUUUUCCAAAUUGCAAAGAUGAUAAUAGACUUGAUUCUGAAAUGUGUCGAAGUUUCAAACUUCUAAUUUUCAGGAAAAUUUGAGAUUUGAAAAAUCUACAUCAAAUGAAAAUAUCUAAACAAACAUCAAUCAGAACAAUUUCUGAUGGUCAGAUAGAAGAUAUAUAUAUUGGAACACCAGUUCACUAAGAAUAGAAAACAAAAUUUUAAGAAGGCUUUUUAUUUGUGCAUAUGCCCCUUCUUUAAAUUUGUCAUAAAAGAAUUAGCAAAAUUCUAGUGUUGUCAGAAGAUUUUACAGACCGUAUGAUCCAACAGGUUAUCUUUUACCAAAGGUACUAUCAGAUAGAAAAAGUAACAUACUUUUAGGUUGUCAAGUCUCCAUAACAAAUAUCAUCCAAAAACAAAUUUUCACCAGAUAGACUCCUAUAACUGUUUGUCAACGGGUUCACAGAAACAGAAGAACCUUUAGAAUAAUUCAAGAAAGAUGUGAAGCAUGCCUUGGAAUAUUCAAAAAAGUUCAAGAAAGUACAAGGACACAAAUGUUGUGAACUCAAUUUUGCACUCUAGAUGUGUUUCAUACAUGAUACCAAGGUUCGCAAUAUCGUACCGUACCGGUGUUUCGAUUUGGGCUCGGUACCGGUACGGUAUGGUAUACCGAGUGGUACACCCAGGUGUGUCGAGCACUGUAGCAGUGCUACAGUGCUACAGUAGCUUGCACUCAGACCGGUAACAGAUGGUCCGCGUACCGACAAUCUGUCGUACUGGGCGGUACAGGUCGGUACUGCAGACCAUGCAUGAUACUAUAAUGUAAUUUUAUUAAAACCAUAUGCUCCUUUAAUAUAGUAAUAACAAAAGUUCAAAUAGCAGCAUUAAGCCAAACGUUAGACCCAAAUAAUUUGGUAUCACACUACAAUCUGUCAUCCUUUUAAUGAAAUUAAAGUUUACUGAAAAAUGAAUAGUGGAAGAAAUUUAAAUCACCUCUGAGCAUUGAUGUGCUUAUAACCUAUGUCAUCAAAUUUUGGUAUAUUUGAUUCACUAUGGUGGCAUUCUAAGUCACAUAUGCACAAAAAAAAUAAUUAAGAAACACUUAGGAAGAUUCAUGAAAAUUUAUGUAUAACUAAUAUCCAAUUAAAAACCCAGCUGGGUUUUAGGUACAUAAAUAGUCCAUACCAAAUACUCUGGGAUCAUGCACAGCCAAGAUUCCAAGUAAAAUUAUCUUAAACACUGUACAUUACCAAAUACUCUGGGAUCAUGCACAUCCAAGAUUCCAAGUAAAAUUAUCUUAAACGUUGUGCAUAAGUCCAUUCUCUUAUUCAGAUAGAAACAAAGCAACCAGCAAGCAACACUAAUUAUACACAUUUUUUUAAGAAUUAAUUUUAGAGUUGGUUCACAAUAAUGAUAUCAGUGCUCAUAUGAUUUGUUAACCAAAAGCUUCAAGUAACUUGUAUCUGUCAAUUUUGUAAUCUUACCCUCCUCACACGUGAGCAUGUAAUUGUCAACCAGACAUUCCAAAGCCUGAUAGCACAUGGCAAAAUAUGCAGUAUAAGACAAAAUUAACAAGACAGCUUUCUUUAAUGAUGUAGCAUAUACAAUCCACAGUAACAAUAUAGAAAACUGUAAAUCAAAAUUUCAAAGUACACCAUUCGGUGGCAAAGAUUUAUUUGUCCAAACAAUAAUGCCACAGAUCUCACAUGUUAAGCAGAAUUAAGAAGUCUAGAAUCCAAAACACAUAAGGAUUCAUUGAAAUUUUAGUUUAUGUCCAUGAUAUCGUAUUCAAUAAAAAUGGUUCAUCGGUAUGUUCUACCAAAACUGCAUGAGAUUUGCAUUCAAUUGAUCAAGUCAUUGGGAAAAUUAAGUAUACAUUAUAACAUUCUCCACAGACCAAAACCAGGAUGUUAUCAUUGCAAAGAAUUCAAAGGUACCCUACAUAAAGUCAGUUGUAAAUUGGUUUUCUUUUCCUGGUAGUUAACAAAAACAUGCAUUCAUUAUUUGUAACAUUUUAUUCUCGUCAUUUGCAUAAAAGCAUGAGCUUGCUGAUCUUGCAGUGCAUAACAAUCACAAACACUAAGUACCAACCUAAAUUAACCAAGAAACAUUUAUUCAGCCAUUUUAUUAAGAAAAGAGAAGUAGCAAUAUGAGGUUACAUGAAGAAAUGGUGAUGGAAAUGACUAGGUUGAGAAUCAAAAGAAAUUGUCAAGAUUAUGAAAUCUUAUCAGGAAAUUCAAGUUCAUAUUCUACAUGAAAAAUCAAUAAGUAAUGGUGUCUGGAAGCAUUAUUUUUUGGAAGCAUCUCUGAAUUUUUAACCUCUUAACUAACGAGUAAUUUAGAAAUUAGAACAGCAUGCUUUUGGUAAAGAAUGAUAGAGGAACCAUGAUAGUAAUUUGAUUUAUGAAGGACGAAGCAAUAACAUUAACCACUUAAAAAAUCUAUAUUCAGCCUAUCAAUCAGCCUACAAAAUGUUCAAUUUCUCCCAUUUUGCCUGAUAUAUUAGCUUUUCCCUUCUUUAUUAGCUGGUGCAAAUCUAUAACAGAUUGUCAAAUACUUGCCUUCAUGAUGGUUCUUAAAUUGUGACCAUCCAAGAGCCUAGAUUCUUAGAGGGAAGACUCUUUCACUUUAAAUUAAUGCUAAUUUCCUCAUAUAAUUACUUUGUACUAGGUCUGUCAUACCGAAGCAUACCGCCCGGUACCGCUACAGUACUACAGUAUUAUACUAUAGUACUGCUACAGUAUAAAAAUAAAAAAAUAUUCGGUAUGCCCUGAUGUACUGCCCGGUACACCAAUACCAUACCAUACCGAGCCUGGAUCGAAACGCCGAUACGGUAUAGUACAGCGAACCUUGCUUUGUAGUACAACUAUAGAAAUCUUCCUAAAUACGAAAAGUACCUUAGGCAAUCUGACUGCUAUGUCAGUGCACUUCCACACUACCUGAAAGUAACUGUCAGAACAAAUGAUGAGCUAAAAAUUUUUCUUAUCAGACUUCUCAAUAAAGGCAUGCCAUUUUUCUAAUGGUAAGAACUGACUAUUGGUUGAACUAUCUGAUGUUUUAUGAUGUUAUCCAACUUGGCUUGGGAUGACAUCCUUGUCAGACCCCAAUUCAAAGGAAUGGAAGGAGCAACUGGUCCUCUUUCAUCAGGUCAAGAGUCUCAAUGAUUUGUAAUAUUUACUCAGAUUGAAGUAUAACUAGAACUUUUAAGGCUGAAAAUUGUUCCAUGUGUCUCGUAAGAGAAAGUGAUAUGCCCUAACUUGGGAAAUGAAUUUUAAAGUAUGAGAUAAUGUAAACAAAAAAUUUGAAGGUGAGAAUUGUGAUCACCUAUUUGGUAGUCAAAGCAAGUAAAGAACACCAGCCUACAUUUGUCAUUCUAAAUGCAUGUUUCAGGUUAAUUUCAACUAACAAGCCAUCAGCAGUGGUUCCUCACAUUGAAUCAGGGAACCACUCGAGAAAUACUUUAAAUUGUUUUAAAUUUCUGUGGUGUGCCUCGAGUUUCUAUCCUUGUUAUAUACAAAUAAAACAAUCUCAAACCUAGGUAUUAGUUACACAUUUUUUGGAUCAGAAGCAAAGAUUUAUCUUACCUCAUAACAUAAUGCAUCUGCUUUAACAGCUGCUUUAUACCUUAAACACAUUAACCAAAGAAAAGGUUAAGCAUAUGAAUAACUUGCAAUGUCACAAUAAGAGGUAACCACAACUAAAACACAUGAUAGAACUAGUAAACGCAAAGGCAGGUCAAAAAUUGCAAACAGUUACUUAAAAGUAAAUCAAAUAAAACUUCUAAAGUGAUUCACACAAUGUUUAUCUUGUAUAUGAACAAAUAAUGUAGAAAAACUAACCAUUGAAACGCACAGGGAGAUUGUUUAGUAAAUGACAAGAUAAAGAAACACCACAAAAGAAUUAACUGAAGUAGGAAUUAGAAAUAUAGAAUGAUAAAUACAUAUUUGAAAGAUAUCUUGUUGAAGUAUGCAUACAUGAAUUCUUGUUUCCAGCUUCACUCGUCUUGAAGAGAUAACAACCUGUUCCACUUCACUCAUCUCACCCAGGUAAUGGCCUAAAACGUUGAGUUGAGAAACCUGGCAACAUAACCAGGUUCUUAGGACAGCAUGUGUUAUUCCAAUUGUCGAUUGGCAUACAGUGCAAGCAUGAAGCCUUGAAAAUUGGUCCUUGGGUUCCCACAUGUCUAAGAGUUCUCUUAACUUCACAAAGAGAGAGAUAAAAAUUAGAGUGCCAUUAUAAGCACAUAUAGGUUGGUAAAUUAACAAAAUUUUAGUCAUAGUUCCUCCAUUCUCGAAAGACCUUACACUAAUUCUUAAAGGUCUAUGCAUGACCUUUUGUAUUAAUAAGAUAUGACACCAAAAUAUUGUAUCAAAAAUACUGACUUCUUUAUUUUAGAAAAUUUGAUUUUGGAAAAAUUGAUCAACAUAUGACUUAAAUCAAACAUUUCCAGCUCAAUGUCCUUAUUGCCCUAUAUCAGGCUAAAUGAAGUGUCAUUACGAGAUAAUUUCACUCUUUGAAUACUCCUUUUCUGUUCUUUCAUUCUUUGUAUCAUUUAAUUCAAACAUCAGUAACUUGGAAAACCCAACAGCCAUAUACAUAAAACAAUAUCAAGAGUUGCAAACUAUAAUUAAAACAAUAAAAGUUCACCAUUGUCUGGCUUGAGCACGAUUUUCCAAAGCCUCAUAUGCCUUGCCACGUAAAAAACAAAUUGCUGAAGUAAUCUGGUGACAGAAAAGAAUACUAAAAUUAGGCAUCGUGAAGAAAGCUAGUUACAAGAAAGGAAAGUCACAGUUCAUCAGAUAUGUUACAUUAAUUUCAUGAUCUUCAGUAUCCUUAUCCAAGUACAUUGCAGUCCCAUCAUUUUGUGAGAGAACAUUUCCAUGCUCAUCAACUUUAGCAUCACCAAGCAUUGCCAGACAUUGAUGCCAUUCUUUUAGCUCUUCCUAAGUGAAAAUAAAUUGAAAGCAAAGAAUAGAAUUAAGCAUGAAACAACCAUUAAAUGCAUCAAUUGGUAAAAAAAUGCACUCAAAUACAUCAAUCAGUACAAAAUUGCAGCCUCAAUUAAAUUAUAUACAAUUAAGAUACUACAGGGAAGAAGAAUUCUGAUAAAACAGGGAAACAAGUAACUAGUAAACCAUAGACAAGUUUUUGACUGUCACAAAGAGAAACAAACAAAAAGCAAUAUUGCAGCAACAAGCAUAAAUUUGGUCAUGAACAUAAUCAAACAUAUUAACUUGGCAACAAAUUAGCCUGCAGAAUAUUCUAAAAGGAUAUCUUAAAGUCAUUAUAUGAAUUAUGGUCUCAACAUAGAUCAUAUUAACCAUUAAUUGCACUGAUGUGGCUGUUGGAAACCAAAUAUUUCAUGUUAUAUGGAUCUUUCCAUAUAUGUGGAGCCAAGCUACAUGGAUCAUUUUUCACGAUUGAGCUCUUUUAACAACAUUGUUGCUAAUCAAACUAAGAGGCAUCAAAUAUCUUUUAAUUGUUUCUGAUAAAUUGUAUUAGGUUUUCUUCUACUUCUUUCCCCUACGAACUUUAUAAACUUACCUUGACUGUUCAUUCCAUUAAUAAGUCUUCUUUGGAUAAGUCCAUGCCACAUUUUUAUAGCACGGUUUUCAUUUCACUCUCAAUUGAAGCGAUCCCUGGUUGUUAACAAACACAAAUAUUUCAUUUCUAUCUUAUAAAUACCCCACAUAACCAUUUCCACAUUCUCAUCGCCAUCACAGUCUGCAAUUUAGUGAGAUACUAAUCACAUACUUUCUACUAUGCACCAGGGUGAAAAUAUCAUGGAAUGUCAACCACACUGAUGAUUUCCUAAUAUUUCUUUGGGUUAAACCAACCAAUUCAACAGGUUUCAAUAAACCGUAUCAUGAUCUCAGUAACACUAAUUUCUGCGUGUGAUUUUAUAGCUAUCCAAUAUCAUCAUUGACAAUGGACAACUGUCCUUACAAAUGUCUAGAAGAUACAUAAUACUUUGUAGUCUUUCAGUAACUAAUUUAUUCUGAAUAUGAUUUAUAAGACCAAGAGGUAUAAGGAUAAAUAGGUAGAAAGGAAAAAGAUUAUCAUGCUCCCCGUGGAAUCCCAGGAUUUAAAAAAAUUAAAAUGCAGAAUAAUUUGUAUUCUCAAUUUUCACCUUGUGUAUGUUUAAAAGAAACAUCCAAUGUGGCACAUUAUAUAUUUUAAUCCAUAUUUUGAACAAUCUAAAUUCUAGCAUUCACAAGACCUAGUGCAUUCCUUCUAAAAAAAUCUAGGUUCCAGAUGUGGCAUGAGAUAUAUUUAGCGCAUCCUAUUUAACAUCCUAAAAUGGUCGACACAUACUAUUUAACUUGCUAAAUUCCAGCACUCACUGGACCUUGCACAUCCUUCUAUAAGAAAACCUGAUUACAUAAAUGCCACAUCAUUGGAUACGAACAUGGUAAUAACAAGCUUACAUUCCUCCAAUGAUCGAUCAUGCGCUUACACAGUCAGCCACAACUGGAAAAGGUAAUGACAAACAUUUACCAAGAAAGUUGCCAGCUGACACCAUUGUGCCACGAGAUCAAAUAAAUCUACACGCAAUAUAAAAGUCGAAGCAAAAACGAAUAACCCCUCUGAAACUAAAGUCGUUCGACAAAAUGUCUCAGGAAAUAUAUGACGAUCGCUUAAGGGUAGUGACGUUAUGGAGGUUGUACCAGGCAUUUGGCGGCGAGGUAACGGAAGCGGAGGUCACGGAGAACGAUCUGGGAGGAAUUAAGGAGGUGGAGGGCGCGGCGGUACUGGCGGCCAAGGAAGAGGGCCUGAGCCUGCAUGUAGAUGUCGGCGGGGUCACCGGUGGCUGCCACCACCUUGUCGGCGAAGAAUAUGGCCGACGAGUAGAGGUGCUUGCUCACGCAGUCGCGCACCACCCCUCGCAGCGUCUCUACCGCCUCCUCCCUCAUCUCUCUCCCACUCGUCUCUUCUCCCUACCAAAUUCCAAAUCGAAAUGAGAGGGAAACAGUGGAAUGUGAUGCGACGGACUGACCUAUUUGGGUUUCUUUAGGGCUUUAUAGUCUGAGCGUUUUCAUAAAUAAAGUCCGACAUAUUGGUUAUAACGCCCAUUAUGGCGGUUUAAAUGAAGCUGUUAUAUUGCUUGUUAAUAACGGGUAUGUUAUCGAACAUUAUAACGGUACUUCUUUAAAAAGAGGAACGGCUAAAUUAGUAUAAACUCUAUUCUUGUCCACAAAUUAGAAUUCCACAAAUUCAAUAGAUAUAUUAAAAAAGAUAUAAUUACUCUUUAAUAAUUCCAUUUUGUGGAUGUUAAUUCAAUUACGCAAUGUAAAAAAAGAAUAAGAAAAAAAAAACUUGUGACACUGUCAUGGUUCUAAAAAAUUGAUUGUUUUGUUCAACACUAAUUAUCAUCAUCAAUAUGGAUACAAAUAGUUACAUUAAUAAGUGGUAGAUAAUGUGAGAUUAUGAGCUUAUCCAAUUUACUUUUUUAAAAAGAAGACAAAUUUGUAGAAAAGCAUGGAACCAACUAACUAGAUGGUCAUCAUAAUUGAUUAUUGAUGACAAUAUCCAUCUUGUUCCUAAUUUUCAAUACAUUAUAGGGCUUCAAAUUUGGAGUACAUCAGUCAGUACCAUUCAUCUCAAUAUACAAGCAUCUUUUCACUUUUUUUUUGUCUUUUGAGAGAUUCAAGAGGGAUGGAUACUUUGGGUGAGAUUUCACAAGUUGCAAACCUUGAAAUCUUUUCCGGUUCUGAGAAACCACUUAUACUCGAGCACAAUAACUUCUAACAUAAUCUCUUCUGCUGAUACAAGAAUAGGUUUCCCCAAGCGCAUACGUCCAUUUUGAAACUCAAAUUUGAAUGGGAGCCAAAUAAAAUCCUCUAGAGGGUGAGGAUCAAUGAAUUAUUAUUUCAUUUCAGUGACAAUUUCGUAUUCUACAUAGCAUUUUGAUAUCAUUCCAGUAUAUAAGACAAAACAAUAUAUGGAAAAUACAAGAACAGUUAUCUGUCACUGGAGACUUCACAGACUAAGUGGUAAAGAAAUGAAGCUUGUGAUGAUUUGCUAACCCUCAUUAACUUUAAAGAAGGUGUAUGAAAGGAUCAGGUUGUUGACACCAUCCAUCUUAGGAUCAGCCUCAAACUCUGGGUCAACGUAGAAGAAAACCUGGAGACGACUCCCAAGUCCAAAGUUUCGUAUUCAGAAAUUAAAAGAUAAUAAUUAGAAUGUCCGGUAGUAUCAGUGUUCACUCAUUACCGGCAUGUCAAUUUGUUCUCCUGGAAGAAGUCACUGCUCUUCAAAACAAAAACACUGAAUCUUGUUAAAGUAAACUACAGCCUGCGGAAAAAUAAUCCCAAUAAUAUUAUGACCUGUCCAACCUUUUGAGUAUAACUUCUUGACAGUGAAAAUACAUAAUGAUAGGCCAAAGCAGGCGGGUUUUGCUAAUUUGAUACAUCUUUCUGUAUAUCUAACUCUUAGAUCAUCAUGGCUGGUAUAACAGUAAGCUACCAUUUUUCUUCUCAGGAUGGACAUGAAGGGAGCUGUAUCUGUCUUCUACAGUAUAAUGACAAAAUUAUUAUCCCUGAUACCAAAAAAAAAAAAAGCCUAAUGUGCACAAGCAUGGCAUUUCUUGCAACAAAUGCCGUCCGUCCACAUUACGUAAAUAUCCCAAUCCAAAUCAAUUGUUUACUGUUUUCUCAAAAUAAUUGGUGAAAGGGUGUCUUGUAGAUUAUUGUUUAAGCUAAUAACACUAUGGAGAAAUAUUGACAAAAUAAUCAAUCUGUUAAUAUCAAAGAGCCUGCUAUAAUUCAUCAGAAGUUAUCAAUUAAUUAGUCUUUCCUCUUAGCACAUGUGGUCUCUGUCUACUUACAAUUCUGCUUAUCCAUGCCUUGGAGAUCAAUGUAGCUCUUAAAAGGGAACUUAAUAUCUCCUGUUAGAGCUUUACUCUUUCCAGGCAGUAUAUAGAGUGCAAUUAUGUCUAAAUUUUUUGUUCGAUGAACUUCAUAAUUAUAUUAGCAAGGAAUUGUAGACAACAAAUGGGCCUGCAAGGCACAGAAUUAAAAGUUAUCAACACCAAGCCAGCACAAGUUUCUAUCAUCAUAGAAAUUAUGUGAACUAUUUUCCAAACUCAUGAGGUAAGUUAUAUUAAUAAACUGUGACAUUCGAAAAUGGGUUGAGAAACAUGCACAACUUGAGAAUUCAUACCUUCAUUGGGGUAACAUUGUAUGUAGAAACACCAGUUAUGGGAGUUGAGCUAUGAUUUUCAGCAGUAUAAAAUGCAAGGGCACUUUCUCCUGGCUUAACCCUGACUUAUGUGAACUAAAAACAAUUAGAUAAAUUUUAUACCUGCAACAUGUGUUUCCAUUACUAUAGUUAAUAACAAAAGGUAACCUCUCUUUGUGUAGGGGUAACUUUCCAUGGCAUCCCAUCAGCAACAUCAGCAUUGAAUUGAACAACAAGCUCCCUGUCGAAAGCAAAGGUCAGAGCGUAAUUCAAUUAUAUUCCAGUCUUAAACUGCAGUACAUUAAAUGCGCUAAAGAACAUUUUGUGAGUUUUGAUGGAGUAAUCAAGUAUAAAAUUAUAAUUGAUUGAAGCUGAUCUAUUCUAUAAUCAAGGCAUGCUAAGAUGACAUUACAACUUGCAAAGUAAGGACACGACGUGCUAUGACAUUAUUCCUCUGGAACAUUCCAGCUAUAGCAUGUGAGUAACAAUCUUCGUCGUAAAGGACAACCACCACCAUAUUCACCUGAUCAUAUCAACCAUAUUUAGUCUUCUAUCUUUGAUUAAAUCUCUCCCGCUUCACGUAGAAAGACCAAUUGAAGAUAAUAAUCACGGAUUAAGGUAAUCCUUGGUUAGGAAUAGAGUAACAUUCUUGUUAAGUUUCUUGAAUUAAAUGCCAAGCCCAACAUUCAGAUAUUUUAAAUAGGUUAACCUUCAAAACAAAUUCCUUUUUAUUUCUCUUAAACAUCAUAUGAAUGAGACCAUUGUUAGAUAUUAGAUCUUCACCAAACUUUAUUGUGCACUUUCACUGUACACAAACUCAUUAACGUAAUCCUUGGUUAGGAAUAGAGUAACAUUCUUGUUAAGUGUCUUAAAUUAAAUGCCAAGCCCAACUAUCCCAGAAAUUUUAAAUAGGUUAACCUUCAAAACAAAUUCCUUCUUAUUUCUCUUAAACAUCAUAUGAAUGGGACCAUUGUUUGAUAUAAGACCUUCACCAAACUUUAUCAUGCACUUUCACUGUACACAAACUCAUUUCAAAUUCUUUAACUUCAUGUGAUAAACUGCUAUACUGAUGCAUCAGGUGUCUCAAAAUCUCUGUCAGUUUAUAUUGCAACAUAUCAUAUUAGCUAUGUUAGUUUACUACCCUCAUGAUUGAGAAUUUUUGUAGUUAUAGUAGGAGAAGAUCCUAAUCCUAAUCGUAGGAGUGCACAUGGAUUUAAAUCCUAACUUAUUAGGAAAUAAUAUCAGCCGAUUUAUGGUUGAAAAAGAAAAAAGAGAGCUUUCAAUUAAAGGUACUGUAAGACUCUUAAGACAUGACAAUUUUGAAGAUCUCUUCUCUCUGUUUACUUCUCGAUUUCUCUUUACCGCAUCCUCCAUCUUUUCUCUCUAAUCUCUUUUGGAAGAUAUCAUCUUUCCCCAAAAGAAAAAAGAAGGGACAAUAGCACAUGAUAAUAGCGGAAAUAUCCCAUCAUUAAAGAUCUAAGAAAAGCUUUAAAUGGGUUUUUCCUAAGAAGCAAGUUGAAGUAAAUAAAUGAUGAAGUUGCCACAAACUGCCACAUCAAUGAGAGUAUGGCCAAAGAACUCAGGUCUAAGAUAAAGAUAAAACAGCAUUGGACAAUAAACAGGAUGGAGAUGGAAGUUACAGUGGGGAGACGCAAGAAAGGCAACAUAACAAGAGUAACUAGUAGGAUUAAUGUAGUGCAACAGUAUCUGCUCCAGCACUGGGCACGCAGCUGGCACUCUCCUCAGGUCACCAACGACAAGAUUCAUACUUAUCAAUUGCAUCAAAACAAUCAUGACGAAAAGAUAAAAUCCACACCAAGAAAAACAUAAAUAAAUAAUCAUGCAACACAAUGCUUGCAAAUUCUUAGGGUGGAUCACAUAUAUAUAAUUCCCGUCGAUAUUACCAUAUGUCAUAAAUACAUGUAGGUUGAGAAAUCGUUACCUCGAAGCCUUGGUUCCUUCUUGGGCAUGGCGAGCGAUCUUCUCCUCGACACUCUGCACAGACAUAAUCGUCGUCACAAGCCAUCAACGGUUGAUUAUUUCCGAAAGCAUUUUAAGAUUCUUAAGCAAAAAAGAAAUGAUUUCGAUCAAUUUCUUCAUCAAAUAAAACGAAAGUAUCGACCGACUACCAAAGAAGAAGACAACGGACAAGAGGGAAAGAAGAUCACCUCGCGGCGCUGCACGGUGCCUCCGUAACCGGUGGCCUGGCAGAAGCGGCGGUAGAGGGGGACGGCGGCGUAGGAGGCGCCCACCAUCGCGGCGACCAUUCCGAGGAGGUACACGAGGAUGUUACGCGAACUCCGAUCCCGGGCGGAGGCGGCGUCGCGGCCGCUGGAAGCACACCGGAACUGGCCGCGUACGCCGGGCAAGACGGCUGCGGGGAUCGAGAACCAACCGUGGGGAGCAAAAGGGUGGCUAGGGCAGGGAGGGUGAGGGAAGAGGAGGGAGGAGAGGUCGCGUCGGCCGAGAAGGGAGAAGGGAGAAGCGGGCUUCGGGAAGGGGGAAAUCUCGGGAUGGGAAUGGAGCAAUGGUGGCACUCUAUUUGACCGCUAUGUGUUUGUUCUUUUGACUAACAGAACAAGCCGCGGCUUCUCGAGAACUCGUUACCGCGGGGAUAUUGUCCCGUGAUUAAAAAGUGCUUAUACAACUCAUUCGCAUCCCGAGAUGAGGUAAAUGAAACUUCUGCAUCCAACUCAAUAAAAAUAUUUUACUGUAUAUAAUGAACAAUAAAAUUGAUAAUUUUAUCUUUCAUUAAUGAAUAUAAAUAUAUAUUUUAUAUAUUUUUUCAUUUUUUUACUGUAGGCUUCUUUCAUUUUCUUACCGUAGAUAUUUUUGAAUCAUUUCAUUUUUUCUAUCCAUAACUUCAUUAAUAUAUCUUAACUUCUUUUUAUUAUUUACUAAUUAAAAGAUUCGAAUAAGAAGAUCUAUUUCUUUUAAUGUAUAAACUAUAAGAUUAUAAAAUGAUAGUAUUAAAAUUAUAUCAUCAUCCCUUUUGUCAUUUUUUUUUCAUUUGCUUUUCACUCAUUUCUUUUUAUGUUAUAUUUUUUUCGAUACAUGUUAUGUAAUAUCAAGAAGAAAGUGACAAAUCACGUGACACUAUAUCUUACUAUUUUUUUAUUAUUUAUAUGUUUUUAUUAUAUUUAAAAUCCUAUUAUAAUUAUAGAGAAAUAUAACAAUAAAGAUUACUCAUUCUAAAGUUUUUCUUGUAUCAACAAAUAUUUCUAAUAUUCUUUAACAUUAAAUCAAUAUAAUAUGUCACACAUGAAAUCUAAUAUAAGUGUUAUCUUUUUGCUUAAGUAAUUUAUAUAAGAUAAAAAAUAAUAAAUUUGAUAAGAUAUAAUAGUCAAAUAGUUUUUCUAUUCAAAUUAGAGAUAUAAAAUAAUAAUACAAUUUUUAAAACUUAAAAGAUAAAUCUUACUAGCACAUAAUUAAUUCUAUCAUUGGUUAUAACUUAUAUGACAUUUUGUUCAUAAAUUCGUCGAGCAACUCAUUCAUCUUUUCUAUAAAUUUCAUAAAAAAUGAUGCAUCUAUUGAUUUCACAAAUAUCAUACCUAAAAAAUAAUUGAUCAUAAAAUUAAUUAUACUCUUAUAUUUUCUGUCAAUCCAAGCAUCUGAUAUAAUAGAGCAACUAUGCUUUACCCAUGAUUUUAUGUAGUCUAUUAAUAAGUCUGUAUAAUCUAACUUUUUUUCAAUAAUGGAACUCAUAACUCAUAAUAACUUUGAGGUUUUAAUCCUCCACUAUAUCUUUCAAUAUCCUCGGUCAUUUCUUUAAAAUUAUCCAAAUGAUAAGUACUAAGAGGAAGACAAGCAUGAUAAAAAAAGCGAACAAUGUGUUGAAUCAUUCUUUCCCUUAUUUUCUUAUCACAAGUAUCACUUGUAUUUGUUUAUCUUAAUUUUACUCUUGCUUGACCUUAUUACUUUUAUGAUCCUUGAUACAUAUAUAUGUCAAUCGAUUCCUUUUUACUAUUCUUAAUAAUUAUGAUUUUUUUUUCUUUUCUCUCCUAUAUUCUUUUUCUGUUGGCAUUUACACUUUCUAGAUAAUCGUGUUCUUCAUCAUCUCUAAUGUAUUGAAUAUUAUCCUUAAGUAAAAUCAUAUAAUAUUUAUUUCUUUAUAUUUUUUUUAGUCAUAUAAGCUACCAACUCUUCUUUUGCAUUAAGUGGAAGUUCCCAAUUUGAUGCUGCUUUGCAUAAAAAAAUAUCACCUCUUAUAGUCUUAUCAUAGAAGAGGCAAAGUAAUUAUAUUAAAAUCAUUCAGGUAAUUAUUUUUUUAAGUAAGAUUUUUUUUUUAAAUCCUUUAAUUGCUUUGCACACUUAUCAUUAAUCAUGAAAUCAUAAUGAUAGUUCUACAUAAAUAGAUAUUAGCAGUGCUAAAAAUCUAAAUAGAGACUAUUAUAUGAUGACAAUAGUUAACAAUAUACUAUUAAUAGUAGUUGAGAAGAGAAAAGAGUUACUGAUGGCGAAAAGUAAGUAGAGGGCAACAAUAAUGAAAGAAUUUUCAAACAACAAUAACGACAGUGGAGGAAGUUACAAAUGAUGACAACAAUGGUAGAGGAAGCUUUAAACGAUAAUAGUGGUAAUGGAGGAUGCUAAGGACAGUAGCAACAAUGGUAAAGAAAGCUUUGAACGAUGGCAAAAGCAACAUCGUAGGCAAAGGAAGCUUUAAAUAUAUCUGUCGAUGGCAAAGGAAGUUUCAGAUGUAUCCGUUAGUAGUGGAAAAAGCUAUGAUCCUUUCCCUCGAUAAUGGAAGGCAUUGCACAUGGAAGCAACAAUGAUGGAGGAAACUACACACGAAAGCUAGAUCUUUGAAGUCAUCUAUCAAUGAUAGAGGAAUUGUUGGCAAUGGAGGCAACGACUAUGCACGAUGUAUGGUUCAUGGGUGAGGUUUGUGUGCGCAACUUUAGUAAAAUUAUUUAGCUUGGUUUAAUCUAAACUAACUAAGCUAUUAUUCAAUUGAACUAGACUAUCAUGUAUGAUUCGGUUGCUUUGCUUCAACCAAGUGCUUACCUAAGGCGUCUAGCGCGUGAGUUCAAGUGAGCGCCCAAGUAAUGCUUCACUAAAGCAUGCCACUCGAGUAUGUCUUGAGAUGUUCGAGCCUUGCUUUACCUCAUCAAAUUGCCCAUAUGCUUAUUUAAAUACACUAUCAUAUUGCAUGAAUAAGUAUAUGACAUUCUACACAACUUAUGAAAGCAAUCCAACCCUGAUAGGUAAAAAUCAAGGGAGGAUUGUGAUUAGGAUCAUCUGGAUUUAUUCUUGGGACUUUGUUUUGUAGGUUUUAAAAUAUAUUUUUUAAUUUGAUAUUGAUAAUCAAGCUAAUUUUUUUAAAAAUAUAUAUAUUUUGUACAAAAAUAUAUAGAAUAAUAUUUAAAUUUUUUAUUUCUCACUUAAUUGGAAGAAAAUGGCUUAUCUCAUCCAGAAAUACAUCCAAAAUUCAUUAUGACAACACUCGCUCUCUCUCUCUCUCUCUCUCUCUCUCUCUGGGAGAAGACAAGGCUUGAUAUGAGCAGGCUUCAACAAGAUGGGCUUUCAAAAGAAGAGGGCUUAGUCGAGUUGACUAAACUAGUCAUCUAAAAUAUAUCAAUAAUAUUUCAACUAAACUAUCUCUAACUCAUGAUUUUUUCAUACAGAGUUUUAAAAUUAUCUACCUCUCUAUGGAUGACUAAAUACAAUAUCGAUCAUACUCCUCAUAUGGAUUAAUUGCAGAAAAAAUGUGAAGAAAAUGUUAAUAUCCUUACUUUUCGAUGCCUUUGCCAUCAUCACAAGGUAUAAUUUCAUAUAGAACAUCAACUUAAUCCUGCAUAUACCAGGAAAAAAAAAUUGUAUGAAUUCUAUAGGAAAAUUCUUGCAAUAUUAGAGAUAGAAAGUAAAUCCCAAGCAUGUAUAUCCUACGUUGUCAUCCUUUAAUGGUUCCAAUGCAGGUUGAGUAGCACCACAAAAAGAGAGAUAGGAACUACAACGAUUCAAGAAAACAAAGAAUGGAAGUCAAUUUUAGGUCAACAUGUUCUUCAUUAAUGUUCUGAAAACAGUGAGAAGCCAAUGCUUGGAUUCCCUCUCAAGCGAAGAUGCAGAUCUCAGAUCAUACUUUUCCACCAUCACAGUGUUGCCAAGUUCUGAUUCAUCGAGGACACAGCAGCUGAUUCGAUACUGCUCAUGAACGUCAUGUCCUUGACAUGAAAUAAUGUGUUCGUACCUAAACAGGGGUAGACAUGACUCAUUUAUGGGAUAGGAAUGGCUGCUGUCUUGUCAGUGGUGGACUCUUGAUAAAUGAUGUGUGUCAUCAAGACCCAAUUAUUUUUGAGGGAGGUAAGAGGAUCGAUGCAGGUUGAUGGGUAAAAAUAUGCUCUCUUCGAUUUAUGUGGAUGUUAUAAUAAAUAUAUGAUCUACAUGACCCAAUUAAUAGCAUAAUAAUAUAUGAAUUUUUAAUGACAAUUAGAGAAAAGUAUAGUAGAAGAUAUAUUAUUGUGAUCUACGUGGAGUGCAUGGGCAUGCAGACUGUCGCAAAGUUGCAUUCUCCUGAUGAUUCUUAGAACUUGAAGACCUACUUCUCCCUUGCUAAAUUUACAUCUGCAGGAUGAUUUCUUCUUUUAUUUUUAGUGCCUGCCUUAUGUUCAUGCAGCUGCUUCACCCUUGAUAUUAUUCUCCAAUCAUCCAUCUCUCACAUUCCUUACUUCCAAAUCACACCAUCUUUAUCUCUCUCUCUCUCUCUCUCUCUCUCUCUCUCUCUCAUCCAUGGUUGGACUUGGUCUCCAUGAACAAAAGUGUCAAUAAUGUCAUCUCUCUCUCUCUCUCUCCUCCUCUCCAAGUAUCAAGCAACAGCAAAGCUUUUUUGCAUGUGGGGUGAGAAGCAAAGAUGACAUAAAGGGUGAGUUCCACCUAGCCUUUUUUAGCUGCUUGGGUAAGUCCAUGUGGACCUUAACCUAAAGCAACAAAAGGGUGCUGCAAUUGUGGGGUUCCUUCCCCACUCUACCAAGGGAGAUCACUCCAUUGUCAAAUGCAUGGACCACAUGCUGUUCCUACUCUCUGACUUUUGGGAACAAAGUCCAUUUGAUAAUUUUUUUGUUAAACAGAUCAUUUGAUUGCAGCUAUUUUUUUACCCAAAUAAAUGAGAUCUUAAAUGUAACUAAAGCCUUUUAGUAAGAAUAUCUAACACUUCUCUUCCCAUGUAAAUUAGAAGGAUCACUCAAGCUUAACAUGUGAAACAUACAUUAGUAGAAGAUAUCUAAUACCACAUUUGAGUUAAUCUAACUAAGAUCUUCUUACAUGUUUGGAGAUAACAAGGGUUAAUCACUUACUUAGAGGUUUAAUUUGUCACACAUAAACAAGUUAGAAAAUUAUAUUAGUUUAAUUCACAAAAGAACUAUUGGAUUGCACCAUUUGGUGUCUGCAAAAGCUGGAGUCCAACUUUCUCUUUCAUGUUAUUGUUUAGAGAUGACAGGAAUAGUAACAUGUACUGUAGGGAUUAGUAACAUGUGCCUCUCUUACAUUACCAUGAGACUUGUUCUUGUGCUUGCUAAAAUCCACCUCCAUCAUCACAGAAUUGGUUAAAAAACACAUUAGAAAAAUAGAUCCAAUAAUUUUAUCAGUAUUCAUAUAUUUUUUAUACCUUAAAUACUAGUCUAAUAAUGGUGUAUCGGACUUACUUACUAAGAUUGAGAAUUAAAAAUCUCAUCAAAUAUAUUUUUACAUCUAAAAUAUUGGUAUAACCUAUUUAACUCAUCGAUUUGUCGAUAAGUAGCCGAAUGUGUCAGGCUAAUGAUGGUGGGUGUGGUGGUAGAUUCCUUAUAUAAGUUCAGUUUAUAAAUUAAUAUAAUAAAUAAAUUAUUAUGUCUAAAUAUCAAAUCAUAUUUCACUAUGCUAAUUUCUCAUCCAAGAAAUGUGUAUAAUUGAUUUUGAAUGUGAUGGUGCAACUUCAUUCAACUCCUAUUAUUAGAUUUAGUCAACUAUACAUGGCAUGUAUAAUAGUACUGCACUAUAGGUUGAUGUAAGUAGCAACAUUGCUAAAAACAUAAUAAUAUAAUAUUGCUAUGAUAUACAGAUUCAUAAAUAAAGCUUCCUUCAAUGGGCAUUGCAAGUUCUGCACAUCUUUGUCAAUCUUUGUGUGUGUAUAUAUAUAUAUAUAUAUUGAGAUAAUGCAUAAACUGUUGCAGAGUCAAACUUGCUAUUAAGAAGAAAGAAGAAGACAGAGAGGGGAAAAGGAAGUUUUGAGGUCCAAUUUUCACAUUCAUAGCUAUAAAAUACUUAAUAUUUCUCCUAUUCAGAUUCAAUUCAACAAUGUGAUUUGAAGUAGCAUUUAUUACCCAAUUAUCAUCAGUCAAUAUUGACCAACAUGCUAUAUAAUCAAACAUCUUCUCCUUAUCGGAACAUAACAUCAUCUAAUGUACCUCACAAAAAAAAAGUAAUAUAUUGCUCGUUAACUAAUUCCUAAUAUACACAUUUCCUAAGCAUUACACAUACAUAAGUGAGUGAGAAAGAAAUGGAAUGAUUUGGGUCUCGAUAUCAAUUAUUAACUCGAAUCAAUUGUGGGGUUUCAAAACCAAGAUAAGAUUAAUUGAUCAUGAUUUGUGAUAGUCAAAAGGCAUAUAAAGCAAAUUCUGAAUUGACCGACCACAAAGAAGCAUUAGAACAAUAGAAGGCACGGCGUAUGUAAUGUCUAGAACAUGAUGGAUGGUUUUUGAAUCACUGGUUGAAAUGAUUUUUGGUCAUAUUAACAUGCGCAAAUGUUAUUUCCACAGUUGAUUUUUGUAUUUCUUUGAUGCUUAUGUAAAUAUGUUUCGAUUAUGCAAAAAAAUGAUUUUCUAAGCUUUUCGAGCACCGUAAAUGAUGAUCGAUGUAGCUGAUCUUGGUUUCAAAACCUUGUGGUAAAUUCUAAGUUGAUAGAUCCUAAACCAAAAUCUUGGAGUAGGGUUUAGCUCAACUCUAUAUUUUAUAUAAAAAAAUACUAAUCUUUUAUUUGAAUUAUGUAAUUACAUUUUCCUUGACAAUUUCCUGCAGAAAGUCUCAUACACUUUCGUUCACGAGGGGUCGGUGUGAAACAUGAAGGGGGAAAAACUAGAAAGCCUAACAUAUCAUCAUGUCAUGCAAAGGCCAGCAAAUGUUUUGGGUUCCAUAUGAUUCCUUGCUUCAAUUGAUUGAUGUGCCUGUAUGAAAUAUAAGAGGCCUAUACUUCAUCUUUCUUAUACUCUCUCUCUCUCUCUCUCUCUCUUUUCCUGAGACAAUGAAAGUUCCCCUUCGAAUGUGAAUGCUAAGAUGGUGUCUCUUAACUUUGCAGCUUGACAUGAAUAAGGUGACAAUGAGAGUUCCCCAUAUUCCUCUCUUUUCUACUUUAUUUCUUGGAGCAGUUUUUUGCAUGUCAAUUCCUCAGAGAACCUAUUUGGUUGCAGCAUCUAUUGAUCCACAAUUAUAAGAACUAGGCAUGAUAAUUUCAUGUGGGUUUCAUAUGCUGAUGUGUAUAAUGACUUAGGUGCUGCAACCUCGAGAGUUUAAUCAUGCUACUAAUCCUAAGAAUAUACUGGUAAUAAUUAUUGUCCCUAAUAGGCUUUGAUAGAACUAAGUGAGUAUAACUGCUAAACUAAGGGACCAUGUUUAAUCUGAAAGUAUUUGACAUGAACCACAGCAUGCAUGAAUGAAGAGAAGGAUUUUAAUUGGACGUCCAUAAAGUAAAGGAAACAUGUGAUGCACAAUUGGCAUAUGAGAGAAGAACCUGCAACCCCAAUGUCAUUGAAUUCAAAGCAGGUAUUGAUAGACUCCUCAUGCCCCAUAAAUGCAGCCUGCACAGACUUGUGAUGACAAAGAGGAGGUAACAGUGUUGUUUAGUAUUCCAAUGUUCCAUAAAAUUCUUGAAAAUGGAGCCUAGACCUCAUUGAAGUUGAAGGACCUCUGUGUAUGUUUUGUAGAUGUGGUUUCUGGAAGAACCUUUCAGCCAUCUAAAAGGAGCCAUCAACUACUUGAUGUGCUUCCCAAUGACAAAGCAUCACAAGGAGGCCUUGAUGGAAACUAGGGUUUGGGGGAAAUGGAGGAAGGUCAUGUGGGCAUGAUGUAUAUAAACUCCAGACCUAGACAAGAUUGAUGUAGGUUUGGAAAGGAAUAUUUUGGAGCAUGAAAAGGGAAGUAGAACUAGAAGGUUUUUGGAAUUAAGUACUUAGAACAAUUGUACUUAUAUAAUCAUCAUCAUCACUUCUAAUGUCACCAUUGAAGAAAGUUUGUAGAAGGAAUGCAGCAACCAAUGGCAUCAAAUGUUGUGGAUUUUCUUGCAAGAAGAAAUCUCUCAAAUUAUGAAGUUUAUUGCACAAUGAACUCUCAGAAUGGUUUCAUCUGCCAAACUUCCAGGUUAAGCAACCAUUGAGAGAGGAGAGGAUGAAUUGAGUGUCAUCUGAUGCUGGCUGUUUUAGGCAUCUUUCCUGGUACUUCUUUUCUUUGUCUGGCAGUACCAUAUGUCUGAUUUCAAUUAUAAUAGAGCAAAAGAAUUAGGAACUGAGGGAGAGAGAGAGAGGGAGACUUAAAGUCAAGCAAACUGGAAGAGGAAGGAACCUCUUGGAAUGCCUUGGGCAUCAUUUUUCUGCAUCUGUUCUCACUCUACAUCUCUCUAACUUUUCUUUGUUCUUUUGGGAUUAUGUCAUUUGUUAUUCCUCUUAAUGAGUCAGUGUAAGCUUGGUCGGAAAGUGAUGAGAUAACUUCUCAGAUUAAGAAGCCUCAAAGCCACGCAUUACCUAAAGCUGUUGUGACCAUAUAUUCCUCUAUCAUCUCUCUCUCUCUCCCCAGUCUCAUCUCCCACAUUUAUACAUGCCCUAGGAAAGCAGAAGAGACAGCCCGUUUGCCUCUCCUCUCCACCUUCCUUUUCCUUCGUGUUCUUUAGGUCACAACACAGAGAUAGAAGAAGACACUUUUGCAGAUCUUAGGAGUGCAAAACAAUCUCCGGUUCGCUGUCUACCAGAUUUCCCAGCUUCAACCACUGAAGCUUCAGUUAGAUUCUCGAACCGAGAGUGGGAAAGGAGGAGAUCAUAAGAUGUCAUCGCAAGGGGUGUUCACCGAAGCCAGCUCUACAGCCUCCCCUGAUCUAUCCUUACAAAUCGGGCCUCCAAGCAUCGCCCCUUCGGCCAUCUCCGACGCAGGCAGCGGUUCCCGAGCGUGCGUCGACCUUUCCCUCUCGAGCACCAUGUCGUCGUCGGAGGGCAACAUCUUUCAGGGGUUUCGAGGACCACCGCCUUUCCAUGAAUCCAUCAUACCACUGACCGGUACUCCAACCUAUGUAGACGGUCGGUCGCCGUUCAACCAGAUGUCUUCCUCCUCGCUGUCUUCAUCUUCUUCUUCCACUGGUUGCUGGAGCGCUAUAUACUCGACGGCUUCCUACUUGCACCCACACAACGGGAGCCACUCUUCAGUCUCAUCUUAUACAUGGACGCCGCCUCUCCCGACAUGGAUUAUGGGGUCAUCAUCGGAUUCCUUCAGUUGCUACCACCGCCUCCCUUGUGGCGUCGGAUCUUGGGAAGCCUCGCAGAACCUGAUGAGGUCAAGGUUCCUCCCGAGAUAUCCAACGAAGCGGAGCACGAGGGCACCGAGAAUGCGGUGGACUAGCAGCCUCCAUACACGCUUUGUCCGUGCCGUGGAACUCCUCGGCGGCCAUGAGAGUAUGCGAAUGCCGCCUGAUCUUGCACCCUUUCAUUAUUACCUCUCUUGUGCGGUAUGAUCUGAUACCUAUGUUUGUGGCAUCAGGGGCUACACCGAAGUCAAUUCUGGAGCUUAUGGAUGUGAAGGAUCUCACCCUUGCCCAUGUCAAGAGCCACUUGCAGGUGACUUGCAACUCACAGCUAAAACUCUUACUCUUCUUCAGUUACCCCCCACUCUUUCUCUCUCUCUCUCUCUCUUUCUCUCUCUCUCUUUCUCAAUGUGCACAGUAGCCAAAGGAUGCAGUGAUUGACUAAAUGAAUGAGAGUGACAGUCAUGGGUCUGCUUCUCCAGAGACAAGAAGACUGCCACUCAUGGAUAAAGGCACAGAGACAGAAGAAAAGUAGCCAUCAUUUCACAAUAAUAAGAAGAUAUAAACAAAAGCAUCAACCUCGUUGGUAAUAAAAUAAUCAAAAGGAAAGAGACGAAUGACCAGAGUGUCUCGUGUGUGAUUUUGGAUUUUCCUUGAGCUCACCUCUCUCUCUCUCUCUCUCUCUCUCUCUACUGUAGUAACAUCGCUUCACUGCCAUUUUCCACUUCUUUUCCUCUCGCUCUCACUCUCUUUAAUGGCCUUUGCUAACUUUUUUUCUCUUUCUUUUCUCUUUUCUGGCGUUGCAGAUGUACAGAACCAUUAAAUCGACUGACAAGCCUGCAGCUUCCUCAGGUAAACCGUGUUGCUUAGCCUUCUAUGCCUUUUUUGUUCACUGCACCUGCUUCUUGGUCAGCUCUACUAAGCUUUCUUCCAAGUGAUUACCUCAUUAAUGCGGUUCUCCUGUUCUAAGGCCAAUCUGAUGAUUCUGGCGAAGAAGAUUCCGCACCAAGAGACAGAGAUCAGCCACUACUCAUGGAGCACAAAGUCUCAGAUCCACCAAAACAAGACCAUUGUCUGGAAACCUCGUCUGGGUAACGACACACUCACACACUCACCUCUUGUUUGACUGAUUGCUUUGAAGCUUAACAAGAUCAGAACAUUGACUCCACCUCCGUUGUAGGACUGCCAUGACAGCCUUUUCUUUUCUCUGUCCUUUUGUGUUCUUUGAUCUUAUAGGGAGAUCUAAAGCAGAAGACCAAUAAAAACACAUAGAAUUCCCUGGUUGAAAAGCAGAUCAUAGGCCUUACUUUGUGAAUGCCACCUUUGUCAGUGUCAUAUGAAGAUAUCUUGUUCUUUUCACGGUGAUAUAUGUUUACCGUAAGAAAAGUUCAUGUCCUCUGGCCACACAUUAUUGUAGUCACCAAAGCAUGUUGGGUAGCCAAUCGCUUGUCCCAGAAGCUUAGUGUUCUCUUCAUUGCUUCUCCUCGGCUUCUUUUCGUCGACCAGGACUUUAUGCUAUUUUAUUAGGAAGGAAUUAUAUUUGUACCGACUUAAUCUUGUUGGUUGAGGAUAUGUCGUACCAUCAUGACUAAUCUCACAUCGAAAGUGAGUAAAACUAAGAUUGAUAGAUGUACUAUUGUCAAUCUUAACUUAAAGAUUUUAUGACUAAUUUUUUCUUAUUCAACAAAGUUAAUAAGUCAAUCAUCUUAUUAGGUUAGGUCAGUGAUAAUUGGUAUCGGAGCUGACCUAGUAUCAAAGAAUGGUGAGAAAUUCGAUUAGGAAAAAUCUACUAGUGGACACAUCAUAGCAUGGAGUGUACACUGAGUUAGGUCUCGCAUGCAUUAUGCUAAGGUUUAAUCCGAUUACUUGACGAGGACGUCAAACUCUUGAUUAGGAGAGAAUAUAACACCCUCGUUAGUCCUAUAUUUUAAUAUAAUUAUAAGAUUAAGAUUAUAAGAGCUUGAAAGGUUUAUAAUAAAUAUUUUAGUCAAUAAUUUUGAUUUAAUAAUCUUAAUGAGUCAAUCAUCCUAUCGAGUCGAAUCCCGAUAGAUUUAUCAUUUGAGAUAAUAACAUAUAAAAAGCAAACGAUAAUAUCAUUAUCAUUUUUGUUCUUAUGUAGUUGCAUAAAUCCAAUCUUCAAGCAACAACAUAAUAUAUUUUUCCUUGGUAUUCAAAUUCUUUAAAUUGACUUUUGGUAGUUGUUUUUGGCAAAAAGUAUCAGCCGAGAAGACUGGUUACCGAUCAACUCAAAUUACUUGGAUUCUACCGGUCUUCGGUCGGCUCCUCUCUCAUCACAAAUUGAGGUACUUUAACACAGUAUCACUCUCACACAUAUCGUGAGAUAUGGCGAUGACAUUAUCGUAUCUGCAUUUUAAACAGCAUGAUUCUUCCGGAUCAAAUGGCACGAAUGACUCUUACGAAGAACACAGAAUUCCUAGCUUGGAGUUUAGCUUGGGGAGAUCAGACUGGUAUGAUAAAAGGCCAUUGUGCUAGUUGUUCAUAUUGUUUCAGGCAUCCGAUUCGACAGAGAUGAGGAGCCAAAGAGUUCUUUGUGAACAAUGAGAAGUCGAUCAGGAUGAUUGUUUGAGACAAAGCAAUCAUUUUGAUUCUUUUUUCACCUUCCCUUGUGUCGUCUGUAAUUUUUUUUGUUUAGUGUCAUUUUUCUUGUAUCUGUGGAUGGAUUAUGACCACAAAAAUGAAAUUAAAUGUCAUAUAAUCCAUUACAAAGUGUGAAAAAAAUAUUAUUUUUUCACUUGUUAUUUUCCUCGAUUCUUCUUCUUCUUUAAUAUUUCCUUUUGAUAUCGUCAUUUUCUUUUGAUCAAUAAAGACUCGACACAUGAAAUACAAUCAGCACUUAGCUAGGUCAUCCGUCGUCUUCGACGAAGAGCUUGUUGUCAAAACUAAGCUUCUAGUGCAGUAUUUUGCAUGAGAUGAGAUAUAAAUACAUAUACCUUCCACACUUGCAACUGAAGUAGAACAAUGAACAAAAUUUUCGCUUUUGACUGCAUCCUCCGAGUCAAAUUUUUACUGACUUCUUUCUUUCGAGAAUAUAAUAGUACUCGAAACAUUAGCUUGAUCGGAUCGAUUUCGGACUUCUUUGGUCUCACCCAACAAAUUCAAAUGUUAAUCGGGACGAUACAAACCAUCGUUUAUCUUUUCAUAUAAUAUGGUAGCGAUACAUAAUCUAACUAUUUAUCAAUCAUAAUAAGUUUUCCAAAAGGGAACCUAUUUCUAGUGACCCAUUGUUGCAAGCCCCUUCUCAAGCACCAUAAUCACUUGCUUAUGAAGUCUCUCUGAUUCAGUUUCAAGCACUUCAACUUCAUUCGGAAGCACAUACUACGGAUGUGAUGAAUCAUAUCUUGCAUGAAUAUUUGCAAGAAAUGAGCAAAUGCAUGAUUAUAUACACCGAGUGAUGCUCCACAACCAAUCCCCUUUCACCAAUUAGAUUAAAUAGGAACAUACUCCAUCAAAUUUUCAUCUAAAAUUUGGACAUCUUUAACGAAUAUGUUAGUCCUAUAGAACAUAUUAUUGCGUUCAAGGCAUGAAUGAUGUGCACCAUCUUUUGGCUUUUCUGAUUAUUUUGUGAGGAAAUAUUUGAGAAUGGUGCUGUUAUCUUCCUUCUACCGUGAUAUCGUAUUCUUUAGGCAACUACUGAAAUAAUGUGCACUUCAUUUCAUCUCUAGAUGAAGUAGUCGAUUUGUAUUUCAUCUUGCUCCACCUCAGCAAUUUCUUGACUACUCUUUUGAGGCUUAAACUUUUAAUCAUCUUCUCUUGUAUAAAGUUAUCAACACAAGUAAUCUCUUUGCAUAAUUUUGGGAAUAUCCUCUCUCAAUUGAGAGUUGAAAAGAAAUCACUUUCUAAAAAAAAAAAAACUUUUAAAAACAUAUUAUAUCUUUUUUAGUUGAAAUUUUAAAUAAAAUAUAAAAGUAUAUAAGACCAUUUUUAUGCUUAUGUCACCUAAUACGACUAACAACAUAUCCCUUUUGUGCAUGAUGCGUUUGCAUACGAUGGACCAAAUACAUUCUCUUUGUCUAUAGUGUAUCCACAUAUGACAAAAUAGAUAUCUAAAAUAUUUGUCAUAUCCUAAAGUGUAUAGUCCACUUAUUAUGAUGGAUCUGAAACAUCCAAUAUAGCCAAAGUGACUCCUUUCAUACAUGAUACAUUUGUUCGAAAUGAAAAAAAAUAUUUUAUUUACCCGUUAGAUCCCAAAAUGACAUGAUAUAUCUGCCCAUGACAUUAAAAAUAAAAAAUAAAAUCCGAAGUGAUCCAUACAACAAAUUCAUCCCCUUUACUCAUGAUGCAUAUGCCUAAGAGAAAAAUAUAAAAAAUGAGUCUAAGCAACCUAAGAUUUUCUCUUUGUGCAUUAUGCAUUAUGCUAUGAUAGAAAAGUAAUUAAAGCACUCAAGAAAUCUUAUUUGUCCAUCGUACAUCCGUCUAAGAUAAUAAAAUAAUCAAAAUAUAACUUAAUCUACGUAGACAUCAUGGUAAACCAUUGACAAAUCCUUACCUAAAAGCACAAGAGGCAAAAUAAUAUGAUGAUUAUCUUUGAUUAAUUGGGACUUUGAUACAUGGAAUCUACACAACACUUACUACACACAUCAUAAGAAGAUGACUAAGAACCUAUUGUGCAUAUAUUUUGAAAGAUAUAUUCUCUUAGUAAAGUCACAUCGACGAUGAAUCUUGAUCUUAUCAUAAUUCUUGAGAUUUUAUACAGUAAAAUUACAAAGAUAAACAAACACUAAAUUUCAUCCAGAAUUAUACUUGCCAAAGCACGCUUAAAUCAGCAUGUUAGUGUCAAAAUCCAGACACAAAGAAGAUGAAUUUGGCGAUGAAGUACGUAACGCCAUGCUCAAUUGAUUUCUUACCAGGAUGAACACACAUAACGACGACAUCUUUGCGAGGGACUUCAAGGAAAAGAUCGAAUGACUUGUGGAACAAACAGCACAAGUGCAAGAUCAUUUCUUUCUCACUAAGAUCGUCAGACUUCCCACACCACUAGAGUUCUCUUUUCAAGUGUUUUCUUCGUAUUUGUGUUGUGUUGGAAUGUAAAACAUAGCCUAAAUGCUGUAAUUUAGAGGUUUGCAGUUGAAUUAAACCGAUAUUUCAAUAUGAAAACCUCUAAGUAAGGCAUUUAUUAUUAUCAUCAUCAUCAAUAUAAUAUGAAAUAUUAAUUUCUGGUUAUUUUUUUUACUGUAAAAGCAAUCUUAUAUGUUUAUUUUAAUUUCGUAAUUUUUGAAAAUGAUUGAAAUAAAAAAAUACUUGUCAUAUAUAAAAAUAUAAAAGUGAAUAUAUAUAUAUAUAUAUAUAUAUAUAUAUAUAUAUAAUACUCAUAAAUAAUCAGUAAAAUGGAAUCAUGCAUGGGCACGUAACGACAAGACCACCUGACAGAAUAUUCCAAGGAUUCCAUUUCUUUAUCACCAUAUAUUCCCGGAAUAUCCCGUCCAUCGACCCACAGCCUACUCCUUGCGUUAACAUGUCUCUCUUUCACAGCUUCCCUAACCUGCUCCACUGCUACAUUACAAACACCACCCACCGUAUCGCCCAUGCUCCUUUGUUUCGGAACACUUUUCACGUGGUAGCAAACUGGGCACGUAAGCACGGUAAUUAAACCUUCCUUUUCAUUUGCGAGACCGUCGGACCCCACGAGAAUCCCCGGUAGGUACGCGGGCGAGUUGGAAAACUGGGGGUAUAUGAUUUAUUCAGCCUUUCAUGACUCACCAAAGCGAUGUCUCUUGAUUGGUAUCGGCUGCGUUCGUCGGUCCCACAAGAGAACCGUAUGCGUCCGACCGGUAAAAACCAGGAAGCGUUUCGAUUGGAGAACGUUUAACUUUCACUGUUUAGGAAUCGCUACUUCUCCUGCUUCCUUUCACAGCCCGCCGUCUCUCCCGCCCGCACGCCAUCCCCUCCCCUCCCCCUUAUAAAACUCCUCCCUGCGUCGACUCCAUUAACCAUCUAUCCGUCCAUCUUGAUCGAUACGGAAGAAGUCCCCCCUUUUUCCCUUUCUUUGUGAUUGUCUUCUCUCGAACCGUCGGAGUCAUGGCCGGCUUCGCGCGCGAGACCAUGGCUCUGGCCAUCCUCCUCUUCGCCAUCCUCGCCUGCUCCGCGGAGUUGCAGAGGUUCGAGAGCCCGGCCAAGCCCGACGGCUCGCUGAGUAUCUUGGUCGUCGGUGACUGGGGAAGGAAAGGCCAGUUCAAUCAGUCGCAAGUCGCAACUCAGGUUAACCUCGCUUUCUCUGUUUUCCUUCCUCCUCUCUACAAUUCUCUCCCCAAAAAAGUCUUCUUUCCAUAAUUCGAUUGCUCUGUACACGAAAUAAACAAAAAAAGAAACUUUUUUUUUUUUUCCUUCGAAGACAUGUUCUUUCUCCCGUCCUUCGAUGUUACCUCGUCUUCCAAGCGAUGGAGGAUGAGGGAGGGGAAAGGAUUCAUCUUGUCGAACAAGGUGAUUGCAAUCUGGGAGAGCAACGCAGAGGAUUACAUGGGAAGCUGGCGACGAUCUUGUUUCUUGGAUCUUUGGUUGUGUUGGAACAUGUUCUAUGUUCCAGCUUUUUUUAAUGGGUCCCUUUGGAAUAUGCCAAUCAACAGAAUUAUUACUCAUGGAAUCUUCCCUUUUGAUCGACAAAUGGGCAGCAUGGAGCUCGAGUUGGUCUGUUGAUGGUGAGAUGCUGUCUUUUACUCCAUGAUUCAUAGAAUUAACCCAUGUAAUUCGUUGUAGAUGGGAAGGAUUGGAGAGGAGCUGGAUAUAGAUUUCGUGGUAUCCACCGGAGAUAAUUUCUACGAGGAUGGCCUCACCGGUGUCGACGACAAGGCAUUUGAGGAGUCAUUCACCGACAUAUACACCUCAAAGAGUCUGCAAAAGCAGUGGUACAGCGGUAAGUUGAACAAAAUGGAUAUCGAUUUUCUUAGUGAUCAAUAUCUAAUGUUUAAUCUCAUGAAAAUUGAUCUUGUUGUGCUUCUAGUUCUGGGAAACCAUGACUACAGGGGUGAUGUGUUAGCACAGUUGAGUCCUGUUCUUCGGAAUAUCGAUAGCCGAUGGCUCUGCUUGAGAAACUUCAUCCUUAAUGCAGGUGAAAUCAAGACUACUGUUUGUAGAACAUCCUGUUGAAGUGUCUUUCUUAUGAUUGUUUCUGUCACCAGAAAUCGUAGACUUCUUCUUCGUGGACACAACUCCCCUUGUGGAAUCUUAUUGGACCAACCCAGAGGAUCAUCACUAUGACUGGAGAGAAGUCGCACCUCGCGAAAACUACAUCCCAAAUCUCUUGAAGGUAUGGUAUAUCGGCAAAUUGCUGCAACCAUACAUAUCUAUGAAGUUUUUGUUUUGAAUGCUUGAAGAUAUGUCGUUAGGAUUUGGAUGCUGCACUGAAAGAAUCCACAGCACCAUGGAAGAUUGUGGUUGGUCACCACACGAUGAGAAGUGUUAGUGAUCAUGGUGACACACCUGAGCUUCUCGCUUUGCUUCUGCCAGUCCUCAAGGUAAGUCUGCUUGCUAAUUCUUACACAAAGGGCUGCUUUUGAUGUUCCAAGCCCUGAUCUUGCUGAGAUCACAGGACAAUGGCGUCGAUCUCUACGUCAACGGGCAUGAUCACUGCCUGGAGCACAUCAGCAGCAAAGACAGGUGAAGUAUCUGAUUGAUGCCUCCUCGACAUGAAUUGUUAUAGAAGGUGGAUUCCGAUCUCCCUCAUAGUGUUUCUUCAUUGGCAGUCCGAUCCAGUAUCUGACGAGCGGAGGCGGCUCCAAGGCAUGGAGGGGCGUCUUCACCCCAAACUCCGACAAGCUCCAAUUCUUCCAUGAUGGUCAAGGGUUCAUGUCUCUGCAGCUGACAGCGGCAGCUGCCAACAUUGUCUUCUACGAUGUGUUCGGCCAGGAACUCUACCAAUGGAGUGUGACCAAAAAUCUCCACGCUGCAGAGUAGGGCAGAACUCAAAUCGCUUGUCAAUAUAUCGCCAUUGAAGAACUUGGGAUUGUGAGUUAUAUGCCUGCACGAUGAAGUGGGCACAACAUGCAUCUAUAAGGUAGAGAGAGUGUGGUGUGGGGGUUCUUACAUUGACUGAACGACUGUUACUGGGAAUUAGAUGAUGAUGGAAGUAGUAUUGCUUGUGAUCACCCCAUUCACUUCCAGUUUGAUGGCAGCCAGAUAAAGAAUGAAUUAGAGAAAGGUCAUCUUGUUGUGCCUGUUGCCAUUUCAUUUGCUUUCGGUGUGAUGGCAUCCAAAUAAAGAAGAGAUUAAAGAGAGAUCAGCUUUCAGUUUGGUGGCAGACAAAUAAAGAAGACAUGAAGGAAAGAUCAUCUAAUGUGUCAGUCGCCACUUCAUUUGUUUUCAGUGGACACACUAAAAGAAAGAUCAUCUGAUGGUGCCUUUUGCCACUUCAUUUGCUUUUAGUUUCAUGGCAACCAGAUAAGGAAGACACCAAACAAAGAUCAUCUUCUUGUGCCUGUUGCCACCUCAGUUGCUUCCAGUUUGAUGAGCCAGAAUAAGAUGACAGUCAAAAGAAGUUUGUGCCAGUGGGCAUGGCAACAGUCCCAGAAAAAGGUUUUAAUUGGUUAAAGGUGCACGCAACCUUGAGAGAAUAUGCCUUUAGAUAAUACCUAUCCUGAAUUUUAAAAUAUUUUUUUAUAUAUUAAAUUAAGGGAUAAUUUUUUAAAAAAAGUCUAUAGUUUUUUUUAUUUUAAUUAUACAGUGACUCAUCUUUAAAAAUUAUAGCAUAGAGUCAUUCUUUCAUAAAAAAAUUAUUUUACCUUUGUGACUAAUAGUAAUAAAAAGAGAAACUAAUAGUCCUAUAUAGUACCUCCACCAGUUGACUCCACAUGAAAUCUGAAAUCAUGGGAGAAUAUAUUAAUGUCCUACAUACUACCUCUAUCAGUUGACUCAACAUGAAAAGUGAGAUCAUGAGGGCUUCAUCUUGCAAGAUUGUGCAUUGAUGUGUUGUGUUGCAUUAAGGUGACAACAAGAAGGUGGACACUGGAGAACAAGGAAAAGUUGAGGUGGGUGUGCCUGCUGCUGUAAGUGUUACCAAAUGCAGUCUCAACCAAUUGUUGAACUGAUGGAACAUGGAAUCACCUCUCCUUCUUUAAUUGGCUCUACAGCCAUCACUUGAAGUGGUUGACAUGGUUCCCUCAUGUUGUCUUCUUCCGAGACAAUGGCUGGGGAUUCACAUGGAUUGCACUGCUAUGGUUACAACUCCAAGUAUUCCUAAAGGUGCUUCUGAUGUGGAUACCAACUCCCAAGUAUUUGUUUCUCAAGGUGCUUCUGAUUCACAAGGCAUGCGCUGAGAUGGUUGCAACUCCAUGAAUGUACUAAUGCCCUAGAUAGUACCUCCACCAGUUGACACCCACAUGAAAACUGAUCAUGAGAGCCUCAUCUUGGAUGGACUAUCAAAGAAUAAUGUGCAUUAACAUUAAUGUGGUUGGUUGCAUGAGAGUAACAUGAUUUGUAUUUCGACAAGAAGUCGGCACUAGAAAACAAGGAAAAGUUGCAGUGGCCACCAGCAUGCAGGUGGGGUAGACGCUGUUGCAGUUGCUUUAGCAUUCCGGCAGUGCGAUAGAUGAUAUUAGAGUCAAUCUCGGAGGAUGAUUAGAAGUCAACUAAAAAAAGAUUAUUGAUCACGUAGGUAAUUCACUUGAUAUAUUUGUAAUACGUCAUCAUACAUAACAUGAUCAUACUUCUCCCCCUUUGUCAUCAAUAAAAGGGAGAAGCAUAACUUUCAAGUGUUUGGAGAUAUAAGUUCAAAUCAUUGCAUCAUAAAGCUCCAGUUUUAUUAUCAUGCAAGCUAGCAAAAAAUUUUCAAAAUUUUAGAAUAUGCAAGCUAGCUAUUUUUGCUUCCUUUUACAAUGUGCAAGUUGUAAGUUUUGCUUCUUGAGAUAAGUAAGCUAGUGAUGUUCAAGAUAGGCUGCAAAGAUGCUCCUCAAAUCGCUAUAUAAACCUCCUUUCCAUACGCACCACGUGAUUAAGAAGGGAUCGAUAGGUUUUUGAUUGAUAAUAACAUGAUACUCGAAUAUCCACGUAUAAUAUAUAUAUCAAGGAAUAAAUUAAUUAACUAUGUUUAAACUUACAUAGAAAAUUAAAAUCCUCAAGUGAGUUGAGUAGGUCACGGAUUGAUAGUGACGUGACAUUCGAAUAAAGUUGCUAAUUAUGUUUAAACUUGAAGAGUGUAUGACCCUCAAAUUAAUCUCACAUGAGAAUAAGAAGAUAAUUAAGUCAUUUUACAAUAUUUAGAUAAAUCUACUGUAAUUAAGACUGACAUAUAUAUAUAUAUAUAUAUAUAUAUAUAUAUAUAUAUAUAUAUAUAUAUAGUUGGGCCAAGAACGGCGGCGGGCCUUCGGGCGAGGAACGGCCGUGUCCAUCGUUAAUUCUUUUUCCCGCGCGUCGCCUCAUCACGCUCGCGGUUACUUCUCGCCGUUCUCCGCCCAAACCCAGAGCAGAAACCCUCGGAGGCUCCGAUCCCGGACCUCCUCCGAGGCCCCGGAUAAAACCCUUGCCUUCCUCUCUUCUCUCUUUUGUCGAUUUUAUCAUGAAAUCUUUAAUUUUUAUGUAAUUUUACUCUCUUAUUUCUCGAGGGCCUUCGUUGGUUUUGUGGAUUAGGUCAAUCGACAUCUUCCUAUUAGCGUGCUUUCUUCCUUUAGUUUCUCCGUUUGGGGCUUUUGUUUUCUUCGAGUUCAUGGCCCUUUUCCCUUCAAUUUCUCCAUUGAUGCAUUUGCCUUAUUCGUCAUUGUUGUUCAAACAAAUUGCUCUUCUGGCAAUCGAGAUAGAGGGAUUAUUGCGAUUGCAUUUAGAGGGAUUUUAGAUCCAUUAUGUCCUCUGGCAAUCGAGUGAGUUUCACAUGAAAUAACAUACAUGAAGUUAUAUUUUAAACUGGUGUUUCUUGAAUUAUUUAAUGGAAGUCACAAAUUUUAUGUGGAUUUGAAGAAUGAAGAGUAAAGAAUGAUAAAAUUUUUUGUAAUUAGUGAUGAGAUUUUGGAUUGUGGUAUUGGCAAAAACAGAUGGAAAUUGAAGGUUACGAGACUAUCUUGAACUGAUAUCGCAUUAGUGCCAUAGCAUGUAACAUGCUGAGAUCAUCUUGGAGAAUGUUUUCAUCCUCAUUGCUAUUCUUUAAAUGCAUUUACAUAUUUGUAUUGUACGUUUUCAUAGUUACCAAAGAAGAGAUAAUAAAGUAGGUGUUUGUGUUCCAUAAUCUAAUUGCGCAUCUUGUUAAAAUGUCUGAUAUGGCCAUUAUCUGUUUGUUUAUAUGGCAUUAGAACCAUAGCAGGUGGCAUGCUAAUAUCUUGAAGAACUCUGUUAUCAGCAUUUGUUUCGUCCUUUUGCAGACUUGCCAUAGAACAAAUGAUAAAGUAGGUAUUGUGCUCCGUAAUCGUCUGAUGUGAUCAUUAGCUAUUUGUUAAUAUGACAUUAGAACCAUGGUAUGUGACAUGCUAACAUCUUGUAGAACCUGGUAUCGAUAUAAGCACUGUCCAAAUGCAUCUACAUGCUUGUAUUGACCUUUCUCAUGUUCGCCAAGGAGCAGAUGAUAUAGUAGCUAUUUCUGUUCUAUAACUCAAUUGUGAUCUUGUUAAAAUAGUUGAUAUGAAUAGAAGGAUCUUCCUUCAAUGAUAUUGACAUUUUCCAUGAUGAUAUUAGCUAUAAGCAUGUUUAGUCUCAGUGGUCCUCCAGGAUUCUUGUAAGCAAGACAAUACAUGUUCUUCUAUAUCUGAUAGCUUGGAUUGGGAGGUCAUUAUAGCCAUCAUCUGGAUUAAACUAUGAUUUAUCAGAACUUCUGAAAUGCAUUUGCUUGGGUGCUUGAAUCAAGAAACAGGAUUUUCAGGUGUGUAGCUCAUGUCUCUUAUUUAAGUUAUUGGCUUUGUUCAUUUAUGCAUUUCCUGGUUACUUUGUCCUCCAUAUUUACUGCUGUAUGCUAUCUCGAUAAUUCCUGUACAUGGAAAUAAGGCUUGUACAUAUUUCAUGAAUUUAUUUUAUCCCUUAAACUAUCUAUGCAUGCAAAAUAGCUGAAAACUCUUCUACAUUGUAAAAGGAGUGGACAUCUUUCUAUUCUUUAGUUUGGUCAGAAGAAGCUAUUUAUGAACAGGUCAUUUUAUGUUGAUUCUUGGGCCAAGAAUAUGCAGAGUAGGCAUUUGCUAUAUUAAUAUUUUGCUGGAGAAAGUUAUUUGUGGUACUCAAAAUUGAUUUACCAUAAUAUUUACUGUUAUUAUAUUCCCUAACUUAUAAUCUAGUGUAAGUUAUACUUGCGACUUUUUUUUUGAAGUGUUUCAUUCUUAAACAGUCAUGCAUGUUUCAGAAUAUUGCUUACUGUUUCCAAUCAGAUUAGCUUAGAUAAUCCUCUUUCUGAACCUUUUUUGUAUGGAACAAACCACUUAUAUGGCUUCUUCUCCAUUGUUCUAUAUGUCAACAUCUUCAUUAGGUUUUACAUCCCUUUAUCCAGCUUAAAACUGGCUCUAAAUCUCAGGGAACACUUAGCUAGUUGCAAAUGCAUUUGUUUUCCUCACAGCUCAGUUCAUGUUUGAGAACCAAAAUUUCGUUAGAAAACCUCACAGCUAAGGAUCUCUUCUAGCUUCCUUAUCUAAAGGGUUGGAGGGAAAUUAUGUGGUGAUGACAACAACCAAUCUGAUAGGAUUUGUAUUUCUGAUGUGUCAAAGCCUUGAUCUGAGCACACAAAAUUAUUAGCAGUUUCUACUCUAUUUUAACUCAUGGACACCAGAUGACAAAAGUAGUAUAUGCCAAUGUCAAAGUGCAGAAGCUACAGGUUGAAUUUUGUUUUUUGGUGGAUCCUCCAUAAGGUAACGAAUUCCAGAUUGUGUCAGGCUAAGAUUAGAUUUCGUCAAGUAAGUUUGAUGAUUGCCAACUUUAGUUUAAACCCUAUAAUGCAAUGCCUGUUCGCAGCAAAUUUUAACAAAAAAUGAAAGUGUAGCAUGCCUCCUCCAAUUUCACAUGUUAUCAUUGCUAAAUUUAAAGAAUUUACCUUCAAUGAACAUUUUGUAUCAAUAAAACAUUGAUGGCACUCAUUUCCUAACAAAUUUAUUCGACAUUCAUUGACCAGGAAAACAGCAGCUGAAAAUAGACUCAGCUCAGCAUGUUCAGAAAUCUCAUAGGCAGCACAUAACACCAAGUUCAAAAUUAAAGCUGCUAUGGCUGUUUCAGUCCCAUGAUAUGUGACGCCAAGGCAUGUUCACCAGACUCCAAUAACACCUCGACGACAGCAUCAACACAAUCAGCCUGCAAGGGAGUCUCCCUCUCGACAACCUUUGCUGCCAACCUCAGAGCCUCGUUCAAAUGACCCUCCUCACAAAAGCCUAGCAGAAGACGAGAGUAGACAUCAGAGUCGAUGCAGACCAACCCCUUCUCCUCCAUCUCGAGGACACGGCAUGUGUCCACGAAUCGCCUCCGUUCACAUAGCUCCCUCAUCAAAGAAUUGCAUGCCAGACCGCUCGGUCGAUCACCCUUCUCCAGCAUCAUCCCAAGUACCUUCUCUGCACCUUCGAUGUCCUGAAUUCUCAACAGGCACACGACAAGCACGCUAUAGCAGUCUGCUGUCGAGACCGCUCCUUCUCCAGCCACCCUCCCGAUCAGCUCGUGUGCUCCGUUGACAUGCCCCUGUGCGCAGAAGCCAUCCACCAGAGUCCGAAUUGUCACCAGGUUUGGAGAACAGCGUCUCUGCCCCAUCCGGUCUAGGAUGCCCAAUGCGUCACCUAGCUGACCCUUGUCGCAGAGGCAUUUGAUCAAACAGGUAUAGGUCACCACAUUUGGUGCACAUGCCGCCUCCAAUUCACGCUCCAUCUCAACCAGAAGCUCCAUCGCCGACUUUAGAUCACCGCAGGCGCAAGCCCCAUCGAGCAGAGCCGAGUAAGCGACCGCAUUGGGCACGCACCCGUUCGCCCGCAUCUGGCCGUGGAGGCCGCGGGCGGCUCCAAUCUGGCCUGAGGCGGACAGCCCUCGCACGGCCGUAACGUAAGUUAUCACAUCUGGGAUCAACCUGGCUUCUGUCAUCUCUUCCAAGAGAGCUGCGACAGCUCCGCCACGGCCAGCAUCGGCCAGGAGGCGAAGGACGGCGUUAUAAGAGGCGUUAUGCGGGCGGCAGUUGAACUCCGGCAUUCGACGGAGGAGGGCGAGGGCCUCGUCAGGAAGGUUGCCGUGGCGACAGAGGUUGAGGAGGAUUUUGAAAGUCUUAACGCAGACGGGGAAUGCGACGGCGCGGUAGGAAUCCAAGAGUUGGGACAGGAAGUAGGGGUGGCGGGGAAGGUGGAGGGCGUCGCACGCGGCAACGUAGGCCGCGGCAGAAUGGUGAUGGUUGGGUUGGAGGCCGGCCCAGACGAAGAAGCGGAGCGCCAGCGCUCGGUCGUCGUCAUCCUUGGUGGCGGCCGCGGAAGACUGGCGGAGGACCGAUUCCACGACGGGGGCGGUAAGCUUGGUGUUGGAGAGCGAGCGGGAGAGCGUUCGCUCGAGGGAAGGGUGCCCGGAGUUGGAGCGGAGGAGGCGCCAGAAACCAGAAGCAGUGUCGUCGAUCGCGGCGAAGGUGGUGGAGGAGAGGAGACGAGAGAGGAGGGAGGAAAGGAGGUGGGUUUCGGAGCACAGACGUCUAGAAAAUGGGGAGAAUGCAGCCAUCUUACGAACGGAGGCGACGGUCCCGUCCCAACAGGGGACAAACUUAUGUGGCAUGCACAAUCCGUAUACAUAAAUAACAGUUGCCACAGAAAAUGAUUUAGGAUAUAGAGCAGGUACCUUUUACCUUAUAAAUUGAAUAUAGGUGAACCGAUUAUUAUUAACAGUACCUUAGAAUAGACUUAUAGUAUUUUCGAUCUUUUUUAUUAAAAUAUUAUUUAUAUAAUAAUAAUUAAGGAAUUGAGCUAUGAUGAAAAGGAGAUACUUAUUUAAAAGAAUAAAAAAUAGGAGACACCAUUUGUAAAAAUGAACAAAAGGAACAUCUCUCUCAGGAAAAGUCCAAAAAUAUAUAUUUUUUUUCUGAGAAUUCACCCUUAGAUUAUUUAGUCUUAAUUUCUAAUUCUCAUUUCUUAGAUUUUAUAACAAUAUCUUAGAUGAUUUAUAUAAUUUUUUAUUAGUCUCCAAUAAACAUGUACUGAUGGCUAUUUAAAUGUUAUAAAAUUAAUACUAUAUUUUCAUUUGAAUAUUAUUAUUAUUUUUUAAAUUCAGCUUUAAUUAGAAUUUUAAAAUCUCGUGAAACUGAAAAAAAAAAGGUCGGCAAAUGGUAAUAAACUCUUAAUAUGAUCACAGCGUCUUUUCCGUUUACUAUAUAAUAUUAUGAGAUAUUCGAGCUGUGAGUCAUAUGCGUUAUUUGAUAUAAUAUUUUUAAAAUUAAUAUAAUAUUAUGAAAUAACCCGAUAUGACAAAGUCAAUUCCUUCCCGUCAAGACCAAAGUCACAAUCUUCAAGCUGAAGAAACAAGAAUUAUGCCUCAAAAUAGUGGCCUGCCUUCGACCCACCGAGAGACGGAGAGAGAGAAUGGGGUUGCAGUGGGUGAUUUUGGCGGGGGUGGUGGCAAUGGAGGCCGCGGUCGCGGUGCUGCUGACUCUCCCCGCCCCGCGUCUCGUCAAGUCGCGGAUCGUUGCCUUGGCGUCGCUCCUCCUUCAGCCCGGAGCCAGUAUCCUCCCUUUCGCGGCCUUCCAGUUCUUAGGUAAACUCGUCAUUUCUCUGUCUCUACAUCAUUCUAGGUGGUGUUUCUGAAUUAUUUCGAUGCUUGUGCUCGAUCUCUCUUUGUGUAAUUCCAUGUAGAUUUGCGUUGGAAGAACGAGCAUCGGCUGAUGUGUACCUUCGAGGUCUGUACCACCGAAGAGAGGACUCGAUACGAGAAAUCCGUAAGCGUUCCUCUUCCCGCAUGUGAUCUCUUCACCCUCUCUUCUCCUACACUAACGCUUUUAGGGUUUGAUAUUGAUUUGGGCACAUAUAGGUUUUGGAGGCUGUUUCAUUCUAUGAUUGAAUAUAUUAUUUGCCAGUUUUAAGCCGGAUAUAUUAAUACUUUACUUUUGCAGAGGAUCCUCAAAUCUGACGUGAAAACGAUAUCAUGGAAAGAAAUUGCUUGUUUUCUGUCUGUCUAUGGUUUAGAGACGAUGUAAGAAAAUAGAAAUUUUAAUGAAUAGGAGAAGAAUGUUGCACAGGAUACAACGUAGGUCCUUGUUAGUUCAUGGAUGCCGACUUGCCAUGCCAUUAUUGUUCUUUGAAAUGCUAUUUAGAUAGUCAUCUGAAGAUCAUCUUUAGCUGCUGUUCGUUUCUAACUUGUUAGAAAAUAUUGAUAUAUCACCAAAUUUAUUUUUUCAACAUGUUGCUAUUAUGUAUGUGGGUGUUGUUGAUAUAACAUGGGUUCUAAUUGUAAUAUAGACACUCCAAUGCUUGGUACAAUUUGUUGCAACAAUUGAGGUUGGUUUAAGGAUACAUGUUGUACAUGAUGUACAUCCAUGUGCUUGUAAAAUAUUGGGUUAGCCUGGUUCUCUAUGAGAAUGGCUAAAUCCUGAAACAUGUUUUUCAUAAAGAAAUUUCUUCAGAAACAGAAGUAUAACUUUUUUCUAUAAAAAUAAGAGAUAGGAACAACCACAUAUUUUAAUAUUUCAUAGUCUGUUAGAUAUUGUAUAGGUUAUAACAUGUUUUACUGCAGACGAUUUACUGUGUGUUUUCAUAAACUCAACUGUUCAUGGUUCCAUACACCUUUUAUAGAGAAAAAAACUACAUAACAUCAUCUAGUAUCGUUAUUUAAGCAAGGUUAAUUUGCUUAUUUUCUGUUUUCAACUUAAUUAAAAUCACAAAUAGGGUUGUCUCUGGAACUCUCAACUUUGUUUGUUUUAUUUUUAACUUCUAGUUGUUUUAUUGAAAAAUUAGCUUCAUUAUUUCUAGUUGAGACAUGACUUCCAAUAUGGUUUGGUUCUUGCUGUACUUUCAGCCAAUCUGAUUGGAAACCCUAGAUUGUAUUUCAUCUAACAAAUAGGUUUAGUUUUUAGUUUGGUUUGGUUGAUAACAAUUGGGCUUUUCAUUGGUUCCAUCAGAAACCAUUUAAGAGUGCAUUAGACCCCAUAUACCAAAAUGUAUAUUCUUAAGCUCACAAGAUCACUGCUUUCUUUGGCUCAAAGAAUUUCUGUAUCUGGAAUUUUAGACAAAAGGAUUUUUCUAUAUAAACCAAAAUGUAUUAAAAAGAAUCCAAUUCUGUGUGUUGUUUAUUAGUACUGUGAAUCUUUUGUUCUAAAAUAUUGAAACUGAAGCUGCUGAUACUUGAUUCAAAACUUGUGAGACCUUUCUCUCUGGCCAUUGGUCAAGGCUAAGACUUGAAGCCUUGUAAAGUUCGCUCAUGCCUAUUUCCACAGCAGAGUAUGAUAUUAUAGGAAUUAAUCUUAGAAGUAAUUGAACUUUAUAAAGUAGGUCUCCUUGACUUCUUUUUUGUGUUUUUGUGUCCAAGCUUUAAAAAAUUGGCUGCCUUGACUUUGUUACGUGUCCAAUUUCCUGAUCGCCCUAGGCUUCUAUCUGCUCAGAUUGACCAAUCCAGGGUUUCCUGAUUAAGGUCUUUUUCCCUUUUUUGGGCCAUUUCAGAUAACAUUACUCUAUUACAACGAUAUGAAUUUCCCUGAUUGAGAAGCUGGAAGACCUUGCACCCAAAGUGUUGCCAUGCCUUUGGUUGCUACUGAAGCAUACUUCUUUGUGAUCAUUUGGCAGUUUUCAUAUUAGGAUUUAGGAUUAGUUAUUUUGAUUUGAUUUCUUAUAAUCCAGAGCUUUGCCACACCGAUGUUGUACCCGAAACCUACUUGUGGUUCAGUGUUACUUCUUAGAUUCAGUUAUCUAUAUCCAUGAAUUUUGCGAGUGGAAGAUGUUUAUUAUAUAUUAAGUCACAUACUCUGUAGAAGUUUAUGACGCUGUUGUCUUCUUAUGCAGAUAUUUAAAGCACAGAGAAAUGUCAUUCUAUGUGUCUCAGCAUGUCUCCUUUAUUGGUACGGAAAAUUUAAUACUUCCACUAUUGCGAGUAUGUGUGUACUGUUGAGUUUGUAGUUCUCUCUGAUGAUUUUGAUGGGCAGGUGUAUCUUUCGUAUUUGCAAAUACCACAAAGAGAUUAGGGAAUUGGAAGAAGUUGAGAAGCAUCUGAAAGAUCAGUAGCCAUACCAUGUCUGAUGAUUAAAUUACACGAAGGUGAUUGGUUAAUUUUUGGCUUUAUUGCUCCUUUGAGUUUUCUAGGAAUACAUUAGUUAGUCUUGGAUGUGCUCUGUAUUGGCAUAUUGUUAUUUCUUAGUAUGUAAUAUGAUGAUUAUUCGUUGUAGUAGUUGUUAUCACAUAUAGGGAUAUGCAUAAUCAAGAAUUCACUAGCUUAUUGAAAGGAAAGAAGUGAAAAUGAAAUGAAAACAUUUAUGCUGCCUUAUUUAAGGAAUCAACUGAUUCUGGUUGGUACUCACUUUUAUGGAACCAGCAUUUUCGGUGCUUUACCUUUAUCAAACUACUGCUUCUGUUUCAAAGGUCAACAUUAUGUGGAUGAAUUGUACCAUAAGGUAGUUAUCCCCCAGGGUCUGGCUCAGCAAGUAUUGCGGCAAGGUUGAUAUUUCGGCCCUUGGUUUUCUGACUAAAAUAUGGAGAGACGAGAAAAUAGGUGUAAACUUAUGAGCUUGAAGAUGGUCAAAUGAAAUAAUUUGGUCAGUAGAGUUUAGUAAUCUAUAUUUUCAUUCUGACUGACUUGGUAUAUACUAUUUGUUGACACCCUCUCUCUCUCUCUCUCUCUCUCUACCUUACAGUCUCAACCACAUAUAAGUCCUUGUUCAAGGUGAUUACGUUUUACAAAAUUUUUGAUACAUCGGUUCAAUGUUUCUGUUGCAUAACUGUUCUUUCUUUCUGUUUUGAGCAAGUGAAGACUGAAACUUUUAUUGGAGACCACAAAUUACUAUUGCUAUUUUUUAAUUACCAACUGCUAUGAAUCAUAUUAAUUGCAUGAUUGUUAAUUGAUAAUGAUUUCCUUGUCAUAAAGAAUAGACAUUUGUUCUCAUUUCUAGAAUAAGAUCACAUGUCUAGCUUACAGAAAUGGAAAUAUUGAUAGAAUUUCAUUAAUGAGUUGAAACCAUAUGGUGACUGUCAUUAGCCUGUUACAUGUAUUGUGUUCUGGUAGAUGUCUGCAACGGUUCUUAUCAAGUUCUCUUUAUUAUGUGCAACAGGUUAGAUUGUUGGUGAGUGAAUGGACAAUUUUAUAAUGUAAGAGUCGAUGAAGCUUUGAUGAUUACUAUUCUCCGCAGAUAGGUUUUCGAACUGGUGUUGAUUGUCGUUCUUGUUCUUGUUCUCUUCAUGUACUUGAAUGACUUAAUAUGAAAACCAUGAUUUGAACUUGCAUAAAUGCAUUUCAUAUCUCCUGAAAAAUAUUGUAAAGAACAGUUGCAGAUUGAUCUUCUUGAUAAAAUUAUGAUCAUGAUUUAUGUCUGUUAUAGAUUAUGUUUCAGUGUGAUUUCGAUGAAUAUACAGUAGAGUUGAUUUUGGAACGGUGAAGUCCUCUGUCAUGUUUGAUUCAGGUACUCGAAAUCAAAAUCGAAAUGAUGAUAUUCAUUUGAUUGUUCGGUGUAUGAAUUCGAAAGAUUCUAACUUGAUUAAAAAUAACUGAUAUGAUCUGUUUAACUUUUUGCUCGUACAAGUUUAUAUUAUUUUAUGUCUUUGUGGUUAUAUUAUGUAAUAUUCAUAUGUGUGUCUCUGGGCACUUAGAAGUUGGGUUUGUGG